AUCCUCAACAAUAUUUCAAGAAACAAAAAGCUUACAUAAACUCUGGUUAGGGAAGCCCAGUCGAUGACCUGCAACUAAAAGAUGGCAUAAUAAAAAUUCACAAGACAAUUUCCAUUUCCGAGCAAGCAAAUAUUGGAGAGAGGAUCGAGCAAUUGUGUCUGAACUUUGGAUACACGCAAAAAGCACAUAGAAGAUCAGGACCCGGCAGCUGUUCCUGGAGAACGAAUACAGAAGUUUCCCCAAUCAACAUGCAGAGCUUGUGCAUGAAUCAAGUUAUCCUGAAUAUCAUUUGACACAAACCGUAUGCAUUCCUAAUAAUCAUACACAAGAACUUAUAUGAUGUAACCUACAUAUGAUGUAGUAACCAAUAGUCACCAAAGUAAUUUCUAAGCUAAAAAUACAAUAAAUACUUUUUAAUGUUUUUUUAGUAAGUUGCGGAACAUGUAACGCUUGCAACUAUUUGUGCUUCCAUUUAUGCAAAUAAGCAAUAAGAUACAAGUUUAUAAUUAAUAGCUUGGUCUUUCUUACAUUGGAUUUGGUUGUUAUACGCAUACAGUUGUGCUCACAUACUGUUUUUGUUGCAGCAUUUAUAUAUGAAAUAGAAGAUUUCAAUAAAUUAAAAAUUAUUUCUUCUAUUGUUUUAAUUAUAUUUCUAUAUACACUACAACAAAAACACCAUUAGACAACACUGAUCAGACAACGCACGGUGAAAAAAGCGUUGUUUGGAAAAAAAACACAACAAUUUCUUUUCGUCCUCGAAAAACUAUUGUCUAACACCUACGACCUACAACGGUUAAAAAACUGUUGUCUAAUAAAUUCAAUCAGACAACGGUUUCUUAACUGUGGUAUUGUGUAAUGAUGCACAUUAGACAACUGUUUUUUGAGCCGACGUGUGAAGAAACUUCAGACAAUAUUUCACGAAACCGUUGUUGUAAUGAGACAAGUGUUUUAUUUGUUGUGUUGUUUACGAGCAGUUCAAACAAGAGUUCUAUAUAGUGUUGUGUCUAACAUACAAGUGUUUUUGUUAGCAUCGUAUCAUAGCCUUAUAGACAAGCCUUUAACUAAUAAAACAUUGUCUGACUGAAUGACUUUUAAGAAAAUAAACGUACAUAAGAGAGUGUAAAUAUUCAAAUGUCCUAACCAAAAUUAUAACAAAAUAGUCAACUUCUUCAUAGUCAUAGGUUUUUCUUGCAAUAGAUCAAGAAUUGAUCAAGGAAAUGCGAAUUUUUAACUCUUAAAAAUGAAAAUUUAUUAUACAACGGUUUCUUUCCCAUAAACCGUUGUCUACACUACUUUUAUACAACGGAUUUUCCAUGAAGCGUUGUUUGAGCCUAAUUUAGACAAUGAAUUCUCUUACAACGAUAUACCUUUCAUAACCGUUGUGUCAUUUUCAAUGAUACAACAUAAGUGCGUAUAUAAAUUGUUGUCUGUAAGACACUACAGGACAAAAAAUACCUUUUUAUAAUAAGACAAAAUUUACGUUUGAUUAGCAUUGUUAAAAAAACAUACAAAAUAAACAUAAAAUUUUUUAUUUUUAUACAUGACUAAUAUUGGUAGUUCUUGACAUCCGUACGGUUAGAUCAUCGAUAAAAAUAUUUAUAAAUUAAUAUUGAGCUAAUCUUAUACAUAACAACGAUUCUAUCCAGUACUCUCUAAAUUGUAAACAUAAAACACAUACUAAUACAUAAGUCCGAACUACAAAAUUAUUUUGAUAUUGCAAAUGAACAAUACAUAUUUGCAUAUAUGUAUGAUAUAAAUAUAUUUGUAAAGACAAAGAGUACAAAAACAAGAAUUGAUCAAGAAUAUACGAAUUUUUAACUCAUAAAAAUGAAAACUAUGAUACAACGGUUUCCAUCCCAUAAACCGUUGUUUACAUUACUUUUAUACAACGGAUUAUUCCUGAAGCGUUGUUUGAGUCUAGUUUAGACAAUGGUUUCUUUUACAACGGUAUAACUUCCGUAAUAGUUGUGUCAUUUUUAGUGAUACAACAUAGAUGCAUAUAAAAACAGUUGUCUAUUACACACUACAGGACAAAAAAUAACUUUUUAGAAUAAGACAAAAUUUACGUUUGAUUAGUAUUGUUAAAAAAACAUACAAAAUAAACAUAAUUUUUUUUAUUUUUCUUAUACAUGACUAAUAUUGUUAGUUCUUAACAUCCGUACGGUUAGAUCAUCGAAAAAAAUAUAUUUAUAAAUUGAUAUAAAGUUAAUCUUAUACAUAACAAAUAUUCUAUCUAGUACUUUCUAAUCUGUAAACAUAAAACAUAUACUAAUACUUACGUCCGAAGUACAAAAUUAUCUUGCUAUUACAAAUAAACAAUACAUAUUUGCAUAUAUGCAUAAUAUAAAUAUAUUCUUUUAGAUAAAAAGUAUAAAAAUAAGAAUAGAUCAAGGAUACAAGAAUUUUUAACUCUUCAAAAGAAGAAUUUAUUAUACAACAAUUACUAGGACACAAAAUGACAAAAAUUACCUUUUUAUUGUUAAAUUUUUUUUAGGAUUAUUGUUAAAAAAAUUUACAAGAUUAUUUUUCUAAUUUUCUUAUAUUUAUACAUCAACUAUUACUAGGAUCAAAUAUUUUGUUUACUAGACACAAUAAUCCUACUAAUAUUUUGUUAAAAGAUCGUAUAAGAUAAUUAUAAAAUAUUUAUUUUUUAUAUCACUAAAUUAUUAUAUAUUUAAAAUGCUAUUUUUAUGAUAUUUUGAUAAUCAACUAUAAAUGCAUACUUACAAAAUUCAUUUUUUUUCAAAUUCAACUACUGUAUAUAAUAUAUCAAAAUAUAAUAUUUUUAUUAUUUGUAAUAUACAGUUUUUGUAUCUCCACUUUCGAGAUAAGCCAUUCAAUUUCCUCCGUAUAAUUUUUCGUUUCCCUCCUUUAGCGUCAUCCCAAAUUUUCAUUUCCUCCCUUAGCUCAUAUGAUUUGUUCUAUACACUGCACACUCUUGUUGGCCCUUCUCCUUCUCACCAGAUCCCUAAUUUUCAUAUCGUCUCUGAUCAAAUAGAAAUGGAACUCUACUUUUCUUCACUCCAGAUCUGCUCGGCAAAUCUCUCUCUCUCCCCCUCUCCCCCUCUCUCUCUGCCCCCCCUCCCUCUUCCUUUCUUUUCUCUCAGUUUUCGCAAAUGUCAAGACCAGGUAUAUACAUCUAAUCAUUUUAUACUUUUAUUGUUAUUUUGGAUUUUUUGUUGUGUGCAUUCUAGACUAUUUAACUUAUAAUAUUGGAUUUUAUGGGUGGGAUUUUAUGGGAUGGUAAUUAUUGAUUUGUUGUUGGUUUUCUACAUGUUCUCCCUGUAAUUGCCCUGUUUCAUAAUACAUGCCCUAUUAUAUUGCUACUGGAAUUUGUUUGUUCUAGAUGAUGGAUGUUUGCAGUUUGUUCUAAACUUUUGAGCUUGCUUUGUGUUUUGAUUGGAGAAAUUUGUGUGAAUUCAUUUUAGGGAUCGUUAAAAUUCCUGUAUUUCAUUUUUUAGUAGCUGUUUUUGUAUUUUACACUUGUUAUAAAGCAGCUUUUGCCAAACUUUUAUUUAAAUUAUCCCUGUUCAGACUUUAACUUCGAGUGUUUGAUUGUUAUUUUUUAUUAUGUUAUCAGACUCCCCAAACUCCAAUUGUACGCACUGGUACAUAUGAGAAGUAUGGCAUUUAUGAGUUUCUGUUGGGUACAAAUGCAAUCGUGACAGUUUUGGCUUAUUCAGGGUAAGUUUAACUUAAAUCUAUCAAGUUUAAUUUAAUUCAGAGAGAAAAGGAUAUCCUCUAAUAACUUGGCAUGAUUUGGCUUAUGUGUUCUGCAGAUAUGAUAUGGAGGAUGCCAUGGUUUUGAAUAUUUAGAAUUUCUUCACACAUUAGCCACAAAUCUAGAUUUCUAAUUUUUUCCUUGCUCUUUACCAUUUCUAUUUGAUUUAUACUUUGUAGCCGCUAGCUAGCCAAAUUCAGGUAAAUGUGUUGUGCCUAUGCAAAAUGGAGAACUUGAUGCCAGAGGACUUCUUGCAGCAUUGAUUCAGUCUGCUGGAACACUAGAAUCAUUUGUGGUAUGAUUUUAGUUUAUACAAAAAAGGUGCAUGACUUUGCAUUGCCAAUAGNAGGUCUGAUUUUAGUUUAUACAAAAAAGGUGCAUGACUUUGCAUUGCCAAUAGGCGAUAGCUCUCAGUCAGUUGGGUAGUUAUCUCUCUUGCAGUAGAUCUUAAUGGGAUGUGUCUUUUUUCUAUUUUAUCAUAAAGGGUAUCAUCUACCUUGGUCAUUUUUAAGACAUAUCAUUAGAGAUCGGAUUCUCAUUUCUAUAUUAGAUAUGAAAAUUUGCUUUGAUAAAAUGCUGGGACUAUAGAUCAGAUGGUCAAUUCCUGGAAACUACUAAACAAUUGUUUUAAUAACACAUAGGUUGUUGUGAUCAAAUGAUGGCAAAAGAAUUAGAUAGAAUAGUGGGAAUCAAAGGAAUUCCUCGGGGAAUAAGUAGAAAUUAUUUGAUUUUAUACAAGGGUAUGCUACUUUUACUUCUAAUAUUGUCUGCUUGUAGAAUUAUUACAUGCCCGUACAAUAAAAUAAUUAACUAGACAGCAAGCAGUAAAACAAUCUGCCCCAUUCUUAUUCUAAAUAUUCAAAGCAGCUAUGAGUGAGAACAAUCUGCCCCAUUUGCUUUGGUGGAUAUUAUUAAAGAAGUGACCAUGUUUGUCUUUAAGAUCAGGAUGCCCUCAGGUGUUAGAGUUGGUCUCAUCAACGGCCUGGCUGACUUUGAAUGCAGGUUGAGUUUUGGAUGCAAUGAUAAAUUGCAACUUGGCUCUUAAUUUGAUUGCCACUUUCACACGCGCUAGAGCUGCACUGGUUGCCUAUGCAAAGUAGUUCCUCUCUUUCCCAGUUGAGCUUUUGUUAGUAUAUAGAAACUGGUGCUUGCAAGCAAAUUGGGUGGCAAUGUGGCAUACCUUCUGCACUUUAAGGUCCAACCCGAUGGUGUUUUAGAUUCUAGUAUAUGUUCUAUCCGUAUGUAGUAUGCAAGUUUUCCCCGUCAUUUAACUUAUGUCCAUUUUGGUGAUGACCUUUGGUUUUAGAUAUUGUAUCUUUAGAUUGGCUGUGACAAUUUUGUAUAUGUGAUUGUAUUUUGUUACUAUAGUUGGUAAUGAAAAUUUUUGUUACUAAUUUAUGGCUUGUUAAUUAUAUUGUUCAACAUAGUAUAAUUAUGUUAUGUAAAACCAUUGUCUGACAUAACUAAAUGCAAAAGGAAAAGAAAAAGAAAACAGUUGUCCCAAGUCCUACAAACAACACAAUUUUAAGAAUAAAAUCGUUGUUUAAGACAUACACAAAGAAGUAUAUAGUAGUAACAAACCAUUGUCUAAGUCAAUAUUAUUAGAGCAUUCAGAACAAAAACCGUUGUAGAAGAGCUUUCAUACAAUGGUUUCAUUAUAUAAAUUAUUGUUAUAAGAAGCCUUACACAAGUGACCACUGAUCGAAACCCGUUGUACAAGAUAGUAAAACACGAGCCUCUAUAACACAAACAAUCUUGUCUGAUACUCUUAUUAACAAGUAAAUAUAUCCAAAAACUGUUGUGGAUAUCCUCUCUAACAACAUCAUUUUUGAAAACAACUAUUGUUAUGAAGAGUUUCUAACAACACCACGUUUAAGAGAAAACGUUGUUGCUUGCACAACAAUUUUUUUAACGUAAACCAUCGUGUUCAGCACUAUCACACAACGGUGCGCACCGUUGUCUGAUACGCAUAUCAGACGGCGUCUCGAUAGACCACGGUUUUCCGUGGUCUCAGACAACGGACAAAAACCGUUGUGUGAUGGUGAAUCUGUUGUAGUGAUAUAACAUUCGUUUCAUCAAUUAAAACUUAUAUUAUAGUUAUUUUAUCUAUAAUGACUAUUUAUGAAAAUUAGGUACGGCAACGAAUAAUUUUAUAAAAAAUAAUAUUUUUAAUUCAAAACUUUCUUUGAUAAAAUAUUAUACAACAACAAUCAUUAUUUUCAAAAUGAGAAAUUUAUAACUUAUCAGUGACCACUUUUUGUAAUACACACACUAAUAUCAUGACAAAUAGAUAAGUGAUUAAAUAGUUUCUCAUAUUCUUUAAUCUGACGUCAAUUUAAAUUUAUUUGAUCAUCAAAUUUCCAUAUUCCAAAUUAAUGGAGAGAAGAACCAAGUUGCCCGGCACGGCAUACAGCUGCAAUUGCGGGAGAUGCUUUUACUCACUUAACACAUGGAUAACAAAAGAUUUGUAUAUACAUUACUCGUUUCUUGUCAAAAAUCUUUGCAACGCUCAACCAUAAAAAUACAAUUUCAACCCCAAUUUCUUGAUACUCUUUGAACUUUGACACUAAAGGACGGGGUUGUGAACUUUAACUUAGUUUAAUUUUCAUAGAGAAUGAAAAGUUAGUUUGUGUUGAUAGAACAAUUGACAUAUGAAGAUGGAAUUUUUAAAAUACCAAUAUCCAGCAAAUAUAACUAAACCAUAUUGUUUUGAGGCGUGAUACUAUCACUUUGUUUAAGGAUUUAUUUCGCCCCAAUUGACAAACAAUUUGCUAAGAAAUUAUUAGCAAAAUUGUUCUCAUUGGAUACAACAAAGUAUGAAGAAUGACUCACAUCAUAUAAAUAAAAAAAUUUAAAGAGACAAACACACAAAUAUCUUUUUCCUUUUCAUUUUAUUGGUUCUAUAAAACAAUAUUCCAACAGUUCGUGUAUUGCAUAUAUGCAAAGACAGGAGAUGAAUUCAGUACAGAAUUAUUAACACAGCUAAGUAAUAAUGCCUAGGCCUAGCCUUCCUGUCUAAAGCUUUGGAUGCCAUCCUCUACUGAUCCUGGAGAGCCAACAUCCGCUCCUCGAUGCUGUUUCGGGCAACGAUUCGUACAACAGUCACCUCUUUCGUUUGCCCUAUCUGGUGUACUCUGUUUAUUGCUUGUUCAUCAACUUCUGGAUUCCACCAUGGUUCCAGGAGGUACACCCUAUUAGCAGCCGCGAGGUCAACUCCGCUUAGACUGGCAAGCAAAACCAUGGGACGACCAUUAGGAGCUGGCUCACCGAAAUCUUUGAUGACUUGAGCCCUCUUUGUUGCGUUCAUCGAUCCAUCCAAACGCAAUACGUUGAAGCCAGCAGUCUUCAGAGGCUCUUCAAGUAAUGUCAGCAUCUUCCUGAACUGUGAGAAGACAACAGACUUUGCUGUGGGGUCCUGAUCCCGUGCUUCUGACAGAAGUUUCAAGAGAGCAGUUAUCUUCGAUGAUUUACCGGAAGAGGCCAUUUCGGCAUUACUUUUUUCUGUUGGAGCUGAGAAAAUAUCAGACUCCGACAGAUCAUGCCGGCAAAGAGGGCAGCAGCGUCUGCCGCGUCUCAGAGUCUUCAGGAUGCAGGACUGGCAUCAUAUGUAAGCACAUCGUGUGAUCACAAUGUUUGUCGGCGACGAAUGCCAAUCGGACAGUCAAUUUCUUCACCGUCAUCUAGUAUUGCAACCAUCUUCUUCGACCACCAACUCUGGGUUAUUAUAGAACUCUGCUUGCAUUCAAUUACGCUUGUAAGUACGUGUUCAUUAUGACAUCUCUCAAGGGUAUACAAAGAUUUCAUCUCAAAACUUUUUAAACUUUGACAUAAUUUAGUCAAUAUAACACAUAAGCAUAUAAAUCGAGUUAUAUAGACACCUUUUAGAUCUCGAUUUUUGAACAUGUAAAAACGAAAUUAAGGCAUACAGAAAACAUAACAUAUCAAUAAUAAUUAAUAUCAUACCAUGAUUUACAAAAUGAUAUCAUACCAUCUCAUAACAUCUGGAUUGUGAAGCAAUCCACAUACUCAUAAAAUCCCAAAUAAUGAAAAAUGUUGGGCAAAGAAUAAUAAAAAGCCACAAUAGUGCUACUUACAGGAAGACUUGCAUACUUGCGCCGUAACCGAUGAAGACCUCGCCAAAUCCAAUUUUACUAAGGUACCAAGAACAACCUCGAUGAUAAAAUACCUAAAAGAUUAAAAACAAGAUUUUAUCAAACAAAUGAUUUUAACACACAAAUGUAAAUCGAUUUAAUUUUAUCAAAUCACCACACAUACCUGGAAACAACAAUUUCAAUCAUCCCAUCUACUUUUUGAAUGGAUCUCAACCAUAGCAAUUGCAUCGAGAUCUACUUCCUUUGGAAAGGACCGUGCCGGCGGUGAUGUGAUGACUUUGAAUAUGUAUGUAGAUCUGUAUAACAUCUAUCAGUAGAUGGAGAAAUAUGUAGAUCGGAGGAUAUGAAUAUAUAGAUAUCAAGAGGCGGUGAAACCAAGAUGAAUGAUUACUAAAAGCCAAAGCUAUGCUGGGGUAUUAAUUGAGAUUUUAAAAGAUUUUUUUUCAUUUAUUAAAUUCUGUGAUACUGUAUUCUGAUUUUAUAAAAUGUAUCAAAUUCUUGGGAUAUUCAAUUAAGAUUAUAAAUCAUAGUACAAAAUCUGAUCGUAUUCAAUGUGAAUUUUAAUUUAAGCUAAAAAAUAUGAUGAUAUUCAAUUGAGAUUAUUUAAGGGUCAUCUUCCCUCACAGCCGUGUGUCUGGGAGGGCUAUCAUCAUAUUUUUUAAUGGCCCUUAAGAUGACCCUUAAAAUGGCCGUUAACUCAAUAUAUUAAGGGUUUAUAUUCAAUCUUAUUUUUUAAUGGAUUCGUUAUAAAUAUCCGCCGAACGGGAAUUCGCUUUUCAGUGGAUAAUAUUCGCGGAAUGAAACUUUUCCGGUCUACGGAUAUUAAUAGCAAAUCCAUUAAAAAAUAAUAUUGAAUCUGAACCCUUAAAAUAUAGAUCCAACGGUCCCCGUAUAGUGUGUUAGAUAAGCCUUCUCUGACACAUGAUUGUUAGGGAACAAGACCCUUCUUUAAAAUCUAUUAUUGUAAAAAGCGGGAAAUGGACUUAAUCGGUGAAGUUACGGAACAAAGAUUAAUCGGAGAUUAAUUGGAUUGAUCGGGGAUUAAUCGGGUAAAUAAUGAAAUAGUCAGAUAUUUAAUCAGUUCAACGAGCUCCGUAUAUUAAUAUUUUCCCCAUCUCAUAUUUUCUCCAUGUUUCUAAUUUCUUGAUAGAUUUAUCUUGAAUUCCUCAUUAAUAUUUCAUGAUUUUGGACUCUGUUAAACAAUAUUACAAAAUGUGCUAUGUUGGUUGAGAAAAUUAAGUUAAUUAAAAUAAUUUUGCUUUCUCAACUGGUCAUUUUCGUCUUAGGUUUUUUUUAGGCUUUUUCUCAGAGAACAAAGAAUAGUAUUAUGAUGCAGACCUAUGACACAAAAAUUAGAUUAUACAAAAAUUGAUUGUAGAUUCUCUACCUAAUAUGAUUGGGAAAAAAAAAAUUAAAAUGCAAAAAUUACUAAAUCGAAGGAACACAUUCCACUUAAUUUGAAAUUCAUUAGUAAAAGAAUGAUUAACACAACAAAUGGACUCGGCAUGCACAGUAUCAAACCAAGCAAGUCUAUCUCAUAAAUUUUAUUAGACAUCUUAAUAAUAAUAUCUCAUAAAUUUUAUUAGACAUCUUAAUAAUAACAUAAACAUAUCAUCUAAAGGAACUCAGAGAAGUUUCGUAUAACUUAUAUGAUAGUCACUAAUUAUCAUGUGUGUGAAAUUAUUGAACAACUACAAAAGAUAAAACAACCAACUCAAAAAACUAUAAAUAUUUGCCAUGUAAGUGCUAAGAUGAUCUUCAAGGAAAGAAUAAGUAUAUAUAUAUAACAAUAAUAUAAUAUUUUGUAGUAUAUAAGAAUACAUGUGAGAAAAAUAUAAUCAAGUCACGAUACUUUGGACACUGCUGAAAUCAACAUCUCAAGGAUAAUUCUAUAUGACAAAUGAUAUAUGACAAUAACCUAGAUUUCCACGAAACCAACUCUACUAUUAAUAAGGUAAUAAAAUAAUUGUGAUGUAAUCUAAAGUUUAGCUUACACUUUAAAUUAAUAUUAUAUAUCAAAAGUGAUCCUAUUUUCAAAUAUAGUUAAAAAAAAGUAGGUUAGAAUCAAGGAGGAGAAAACUAUUUAGGUUAUUCUGAAAAUUCUAACAAAACUUUAUUGGCAAUUUGUACUAGCAUGAGAAAUUUAAAACUAAUGUUGAAAACUAUAAAGUUAACACUACUUUCCGAAAUAUAUGGAUAUCGAAUGUGACUUUUAAGUCCUAUGUAUUGUGUAUUAAAAAAUAAUGUCCUUCUGAAUGCAAAGUAUAUGAACUACCAAAAUUAUAAACCACUAUCACAACUAAACCUAACCUAAAUUGCUAUGUGAAUUGUCAUUGAAUUAUGCAUUACGGUUGGAUUUACUAAGCGAACUUAGAUAUAUCUUAUGCUUAGGAGACGAGAGAAAAAUUGACAAACAUAAAGAAGAAUUUCUAACAAACCUUGAUAAAAAUUCCUCAAUCCUUUAAACAAAAAAAAUCUUUCCAAGUUCCACUCAAGUUCUUUAAGCUUGAGUUUCAUCCAAUUCCAUUAUUAAAAGGCCACAUGCACAGCUUGUACCUAAAUCAAGUUAUCCUGAACAUCAUUUGACACAAACCAUAUACAUUCCUAAUAAUAAUAAACAAGAACCUAUAUGAAGUAGUAACUCAUAGUCACGAAAGUAAAUACCAUAUCAUACAAGGAAGGUAAAAUGUACGCAGUCCUUCCCCUACCCUUAAAGUUAGAGGUUGUUUCUGUGAAGACUCCCGGCUUAGUGCAUAAUAAAUAAAAUAGUGUGUGUGAUAUAAUAUUAAUAUAAUACCUUAGCCCAUGGCCUUCUUCACAUGGGACUUACCUAAAUUCUUUUUGUCGAUGAUGGGUGACAAUGAUUUGAAACAAAAAUAUCAAAGUGGAUAAACACUAUCAUUGCACACUUUCUUGAAUUAACUUGAUUCCUUCUUGUGUAAUCCUUAUCCUUAUCGGUUCUCCUUAAUCUACGCUGCCAAAGCAAUCACCGCCAAUACACUAACCGUAUUUCUUUCCUUUCCCACCCCCAUGUAAUACUGACCGGGACGUUUUAAAAUACACACUCAAAAUCAAAACUAAUUUGCUAGGAACUCUAGAUGAUUUGCAUUGUAGACUAUGUUGACACGAAUUAAGACACCCCACCCACAAGAAUACGGUUGUCACGUCAAAACCAUUUAGAAACCCUGUGAAACCUUGCCAAAUUCUUCGACGAACCAACAUCCGUGAUGUACAUCACGAAGAUGGUAAAUAAAACUGACUUCACAAUACCAUUCCGCAACCGCCGUCUAGCCAGUCCCUCAAUGAUAUUUUUAGUGACCACAGGCAACAUGUGUUGCAGUCUGCUCUUCUCGCAAGUCUAAUUUUCUCCCUCAAUGAUAUUUUUAGUGACCACAGGCAACAUGUGUUGCAGUCUGCUCUUCUCGCAAGUCUAAUUUUCUCAAAUAUAAUAUCUGUAUUCCAAAGGUUUAAUUUCCAUGAAUUGUGAUUCCUGCCCGACGUGUACACAAUCCAGUGAAGAAGGGAAAUGGCCUAACAAUAAUGAGACAAUUUUCUAGAAAAUGAGAAGAAUAUCAAACUCGAUCGAUAAAUCACGCAAAUAUGUCGAGAGAAAUCCAACAAUGCCCACAACAUUAGAGCAAGUCAAUGUGACUACAUGUCAAUGUCUGAUAUGUGAAUAUGUGAUGUUCGUACGUAUCACGAAGAAAGCAAGCAACACACAUGGAAUACGUGUGUUAAUCGCCAACAAGAGCAUCCAGGAAUUUUGGGACAAGCAUGAUGAGACCAGUUUUGUGAACCCUACACAAUAAAUACUUUUUAAUGUUUUUAGAAAAUUGCGGAACAUGUACCGCUUGCAAUUAUUUGUGCCCCUAUUUCAGCAAGUAUGCAAUAUGAUACAAGUUUAGAAUUAAUAGAUUGGUAUUUCUUACAUAGGUUUUGGUUGUUACACACAUAUAAUUGGAGGCAUUGCACAUAUAAUUCAAAAUAGCAAAAUAGUACAAAAGAAAAGAGUGGAAAGUGUAGAGUUACUUCAACUCUAAACAGAUGCUUGCACAUGAAAUUGGCAUAAAUUCUUUCAUAUUUUGAACUCUGGUUACUCAUUACGCUGCCAUUUUAAUUACAUGUCAUGGCCUUUCUAAAUUCUAUGAAUUUUUUAGCAUUCAAAUUAAAAUUUCUUAAAUUAUUAUAUAUAUAUAUAUAUAUAUAUAUAUAUAUAUAUAUAUAUAUAAAUAUAUAUAUAUAUAUAUAUAUAUAUAUAUAUAUAUAUAGAGAGAGAGAGAGAGAGAGAGCAUGAUAUAUGGAAGUCCAUAGAAUGCAUCGGAAACUCGAUUUUGCAUCAUUGACGAUGCCCUGGGGAGGAAUUUAACACUACUACAAAUUUGAACUUACAUAGCGGUCAUUUUUAAACUUACAUAGCGGUUUCAGGCGCUAUACAAGACAGCGCUAUGCAAGUACAAUAAGCUUACAUAGCGUUUCUUUUUCCGCUCUCUAAGAACAGUAGUUGUAUAGCGUUUAGAAAAGCCUUAUGACAAUAAGCAUCAUCUAAGUGAAUCUACUUCAAUAGCAUUUUUAUAAACACUAUGGAAGUAACAAGUGUAUUUUACAAUCUUUCUUACAUAGCUGUUAUUUAAACGCUAUCUUAGUGGAAACUUUAUGAAAAUCCUCAAUAUUUUAAAAAUAUUAAUAUAAUUAAUUUUAUGCAUUUUUUACACAUACAAUUUGAGAAAAUUCACAAAUUAUUUUAAAAGACAUACUUAAAAAUUACUUAAUUAUUAAUGAAAAUAUAUGUGUACAACCGGAUAAUUACAAAUAAAUAUAUUGAACAUAAAACAUGAAAUCCUCUAUAACUCUUUUUCAAGAAACUACUGUACAUAACUACAAUUUCUAAUAAAACACAAAACUACUACAUGAGCAACUUGUUCUUGAGAAACCGAUGAACCUGUGCUUGUUAUUCCGCAAAAUAUCAAUUAUUAGCAGAGCGAAUAAAGUCCACAAGAUUAAAAGAACUUGUAUUCCGCAACAAUACAAUGUUUAUAUCUGGAUUGGCAGUGACAAUUUUCCUUUCUGCCGGAAAGAACCUGUUCUGCUUAAAUUCCAUGUCUCCUAUAAGAAGUAAAUAAAACACUAAUUACCAAUGGCAAAUAGUAACUAAUAAUAUGUUCAACAUUAAAAGUUAUUAGCAUAAAAUAGUAACCAAUACUAUGUUCAUAUUAAAGAAAUUAGCAGACUUAACAUGUGCAAUAAUUAUUGUCGUGAAAAAACUAAAAAUAAUAAAUUUACUGUAGUGUUUAUUGCACAAAAUAGUAAAAUAAUAGCACAUAUAAUUAAAAGAUAGUCAUACCUCCUCCUUCAUAAGAGCUCGCCGAAGUAGAGCUGGCUGUCUUCUUUUAUCCCAUCCUGCCCCUUCAAAAUCAAUCAUAUAUCAUUUAAUUACUUGUCAUAUUGUAGUAGAAACCCCAACAAAUGUUCAGAGAAAUGAUAGGGUACAACGCCUAAAUUAUAUUGAUGCAUUUCUGAAAGAUUAAAUUGCAGCAGAAGAGAUGUAAUCUUACAAGAUAACAAUGAACUAUACCCUAUCCAUAAGCUCACCAAGUAGUACUGCUAGGCCAUGGUCUUUCUUCAUUCCUUAGACUCAUUGCAGCAAAUUGUCUGGACAAGGACUGUGCAUCAUCAACCAAUGCACCUGCCAUAACUCGAGCCAGACCACUACCUUUACUAGCACAAUCAAACCAAUAUAGUAAAUAUCUGCACAAUAAUGAGAGACCAUAUUUGCUGUUUUACUAUUUUGACUGACCUCUUUAUAGUAGAAGGCUAAGUCAUUGAUGAAACAGUGCAGUAUAGAAGAGUUGAAUCCAAGUAUCACGUAAUCCAAGAAGGCACCAGUGGCUAGAAUCAUUAUAAUGGUCAGGAGAAAGCCUGAGUUCUAAAAUAGAUGUACUUCUUCAAGAAAACAGGGAACAAAACAAGAAACUUAUAAUGGAAGAAACAUUGCUAAAUCAGAUAUACAUGGAAAAGACAGCUAAAGUUGGGGACCUCCAAAGUGAGGUAUAACACCUUAUUAACGAAAGUGACAGAGGACGAGCUUGAUAGAAUCGAAACAGAAUAGGAAAUCAAGGUUAAAGAUUUAAUUUCUAAGUUUGCACAGUCCAAACAGAGCCAUGCCGACUAUGAAAUAGUCUUAAAGAGACUGACAAGUUACAGGUCUAGUAAAGAAAAACUCAAGACAUGAGUAAGUAAUCUCGAGCUGAAACUUACAGUAUCUGAAUAUUAACGGCGAUGACUAAUAAACGAAAUUGCUGGUCUGAAGGGUUAGAUACAGAAUGUAGCACACUCUCAGGACAACUCAAUUUCUUCAUGCAAAAGAUUAAACAAGUUAUAUAAAUAAGCUUCAAUAAUAAGCAUGUUUUUUUAACAACAAAAGCAACUCACCCAGAAUAGGAUAAAAAAAAAAGAUACAUCAACACAUCACAUGCAAUAGGAAUUAAAUUGUCACAGUCUUCCAUUCUAGUUAUAAAAACGCCACAUUUUCACGCACUUUAUACUAAUGGUAGACUCAACCAACCACAUAGAUUUUAGCUAUCAAUCUAUUAACAGGAUUCAUCAGGACAAUGGUGGCAGUCACUUGGCAUGGCAUGUUCUGUUUUAAGCUUUUUCAUUAUCAUAUUUCACAGCAAUAGAAUAAUGAAUAUUUUCAUAUAUACUUUCAUACUUGAUGAUAAAAUUUUCAUUGAAUAAGAAGCAUAUCACAUCUUUUAUAUCUAAUUGGUACAUAAAUUGAUUAUAUACACAAGUUGAAAUUAAUCCAACUAACCAUCACCGAGGAAACCAAACAUAACGUGCAAAUAUAUACACAAAUUAGAACAAUAGAGCAGAGCACAUAAAUCAAAAACCUAAAAUCUAAAAAUUGAAAAGUUGAAGAUAACACAAUCAAGAUAAUUAAUCAAAAAUCACAUAUAAUAGGAGACAAUUGAAACCCCUUGAAUAUACACACAUCUAUACAGACAAGUUAGAGCAAUACCUAAUUUCUUUGAUGAAUGACUUUAAUUCAGCAAUAUAGACACAAAGGAUGUGGGGUGUAAACAGAGGAGUAUACUAUCAGUGUGUAAUGGAGCAAUUCUUCACCGAUGGUUUUAACUUUUAGCGAUGGUUGCAGUUUUGUAUCACGCAUCAGGGCAGUCUAUGAGGGAGGUUAUUUUUUAAUGUAAAGAAAUUUAAUUAACUGUAAAAAGAAAGCUACUUGGGAUAUGUUAACUACAAAAAUGGAUUUCUAAACGCUAUUUAAGGAAAUAUAUAAUAUAAUAUUAUUUAAAAUAAUGGACACUUCUAUAGCAUUUAUUGAAACGCUAUUCUAGUUUUCCUAAUACUACUUAAAAUAUGUGUCCUUCUACAACGUUUAUGAAAACGCUAUUGUAGUAUCAAUAAUAUUACUUAAAAUACAUUUACUUCAAUAGCGUUUAUAGAACUAUUAUUGUAGUAAUAUUUCUUUUUUUUCCUUUUUUUAGUACUUUUAAAUAGUAGCUUACGUACCGUUUUUUAUAAAAAGGCUAUACAAGUAAUAUACUUGUAUAACGUAUAUACAAAAGCACUAUUCAAGUACCAUCGCAUAAGAUUAAAUUUGUAGUAGUGUAAGUAACUCAUCUUCAGAUUGCUGAAAAUAAUUGCAUAAAAUACCAUAGGUGUAUAUACAUGAAUAGCUAGGAACAAGAAAAAGAAAGAACAAAGAAUAAUAUUGUAGGCAAAGGUGAUUCAUUAUUAUAUAUACUGUCACAAAAUAAGAAAGAUGAAUUCAAAUAAAGAAAAGAAAAGAAAGAUGAACAACCAAAUGGAGUUGAGAGGAAAAAACGUGAAUUUAGAAGUUUAUACACCUAAACUGAUGAACUUCAAUCUCUCUCCUUCAAUUUAAUCAACCAUUUAUAGUAAAAACAUUAUUGGACGACAUAUAUCAGCUGCAGAACUCAUAAAGGAGUUACAUGAACUCAUAAAGGAGUUACAUGAAAAAAUUGCUGAUAUAAAAGGUAUUGGAAAAGGAGAUCAUGGGUUGAACGGAUUAUGUGAGCAUUUGUUUAUGAAUAGGGAACAUAUAAAUGAAAACACCGAGCAUUAUUUUUUAAAAGGCAAAAUUUAUAAUUUACCCAAAAAUACCUUUGAUCACCCUUUGUAACACACACUAAUAUCAUGAUAAAUAGAUAAGUGAUUUAAAUAAUUUCUCAUAUUAUAUAAUCUGAAGCCAAUUUAAGUAAUAACCUAUUUGGGAACCAUAAUUUCAUUUUAAAUUCUGGAUUUGAUCAAAUAACCUGUUUGGGAAUUCUGAUUUGGAUUUCAUUUGAAAUCCAGACAUUCAAAUAUCAGAUUUAGAAUUUGAAAUGACAAGUAAAAUCUUUUCAUUUGAAAUCCAUCAUUCGAAAUGAAAUGCAUGUUUCCAAACGGUCUCGAAACUUAUUUGAUCAUUAGAUUUCGAUAUUCCAAAUUAAUGGAGAGAAGAACCAAGUUGCCCUCAGGAGGCCUGAUCCCGAUUAAAACCACUCAUACGUCAAUCCCGCGAGAUGUUUUUACCCACUUAACACAUCACAUGAAUAACAAAGAUUUAUAUAUACUUUACUCAUUUCUUAUAAAAAUCUUUGCAACUGUAGAGCAUAAUCAUAAAAAUACAAUCUUAACCCCUUGUUUCUUGAUACUCUUUGAUCUUUGACAUUAAAAGACGGGACCGUGAACUUUAAUUUAGUUUCAUCAAAUAUAGAUAAUGAAAAGUUAGUUUGUGUUGGUGCUUGGUAGAACAAUUGACAGAUGGAGAUAGACAAUUUUAGAACACCAAUCCUGCAAAAAUAAUUAAUAUUGAUUGCUUUGAGGCAUAAUACUUUCACUUUUUUAAGGAUUUAUUUCACCCCAAUAAAUAGACAAUUUGCUAAGAAGUUACUAGCGAAAUUAUCCUCACGGGAUGCAACAAAGUAUGGAUAGCUCACAUUAUUUAAAUAAAAAACAUUUAAAGAUACAAAAUAGAUUUCACAGAUAUCUUUUCAAUUUUAUUGGUUCUAUUUCUAUAAUACAAUAUUCCAAUAGUUCGUGUAUUGCAUAUGCAAAGACAGGAAAUGAAUUCAGUACAGAAUUAUUUACACAGCUAUAAAGUAUUAAUGCCCAGGCUUCCUGUCUAAAGCUUUGGAUGCCAUCCUCUUCUUCCCAUCCCGGACCUCUGGUAUCCGCUCCUCGAUGCUUUUUCAGGCUAUGCUCCUAUCCGAAGUACUCUGUCCAUUGCUUGUCCAUCAACUGCUGGAUUCCACCAGGGCCCCAGGAAGAGGAUAUGUGUAUGCUAAAACUAUCUCAGAGAUCAUGCCUACAAGGCAAAAUAUACGGGGUCUUGGAGCUUUACAAAACUAUGUAGUUCAUAAAUGUGAAUAAAAGAUAGUUCUGUAAAAUACCUUCUUUAUUGCUGCACGGAAGAGUUGCAAUGUGAUCUUUAGGGCAUAGGUCCAGAUGAGUACAUGUCUGGCGGAGUCGAAGAACUAUGCCAAGCACGGCUAUAUAGUGGAUUCUGACUGCCUGUGGAGAUGUAAUCCUGAACGGCAGUCUUAGCCUCCACUUCCAUCUGAUCAUAACGCUCCCUUUCCUCGGCAGAAAGAUCGACAGAACAUAUUUUCAUAAUUUUUUGAGGCAAUCCGAGUAUGUUCUGCUCUUUUGUCCUCCUCAAGCAGAUGGCUUCCAUUACAGCCUAACACAGAACAUGAAAAAUCUUUCAAAUAUACAGGCAAAGAAUGUUAAAAUGUGUAGCUGAUGACAGUGAAAUAUAUGUACCUCUAACCGAGUGACCUCACUACUUGUGUCCACUGGCUUUAGCAGCGUCUUUUUCCAGGAGUGUUUGUCUGUAAAUGGAUUGUAUUUCAAAAAUUGACAUGAAAGAAUACAUGUCCAUUGUGGUGUUCUGUAGGGGAGUUCCUGUGACCAGCCACCUCCGUCUAGCAUUUAACCUAAGUACAGCAGAGGCUUGUGUAGGAGUGGAGUGCUUAAUCAGAUGUGCUUCAUCCAAAAUCACCCUCCACCAAGGUACUUGGAAUACUGGUGAUCCCGAUUCCAGUUCAGACGCCAAUAAAGAGUAUGUGGUGAGUACCAAAUCAUACUUUAUAAGCUCCAUUGGGUCAUCAGUCCUCUGUUUAUAAUACAGGUAAACACUUAACUUCCCCGGCUUCGUGUGCUUUUUCAAUUGCUCUUUCCACGUCGAAAACACAGAAGUCGAGGACACAACCAAUGUUGUCCUGGAAGCUACAAGAUCAUUCAACGCAUUUCCAUCAUUACUUAGCUCUCCUACAACUCUCUGCCUUUUCCUCAUUCUAUCCACCGCUUUACUCCCUCUCGCCCUCUUUGGAUCCUUACCUUGAUAAAUAGCAAAUUCCUCCUUACCAUCAUCCACCACAUCACUCCCCGAACCACUACCACUAGCACUACCACUACCACCAUCAUAACUACACUUAUCCAACGCAACCAAAGAAAGAAGAGUCAAGGUCUUCCCCAUCCCCGAAUCAUCCCCCAAAAUCCCCCCACGCAAAGCCCUCGGCCUAUGCGCCACCCCAACAUUCAUAACCUCAUUAACAAAACUCCCAUCACACUGCUCCACCCAAAAAGGUGGCAUCCCAGCCCAACUCUCUGUCUUCACCAUCCAAGCCAACGCCUUCUUCUGAUGCAAAAACAACUCCGUCUUAACCACUUCCCUCGGCGUCUCCACCACUUCCACCACCGCACCAUCACUCACAACUCUAGCUUCCAGGACACAACCAAUGUUGUCCUGGAAGCUACAAGAUCAAUCAAAUUAGACACAUUUCCAGCUGAGGACACAACCAAUGUUACUGUGCAAGACUUGCAUACUUGCACAGUAACACCUGAAGACCAAAUAAAACCCAAUUUUACUAAUGUACCAAGAACAAUCCCGAUGAUAAAAUACCUAAAAGAUCAAAAACAAGAUUCAGUAAUCGCCAUCAAAUAAAUAAUUUUAACACACAAAUAUAAAUCAAAUCAAUUUUAUCAAAACACCACACAUACCUAAAAACAACAAUUUCAAUCAUCCCAUCUACUUUUUGAAUGGAUCUCCACCAUAGCAAUUGCAUCGAUACUUCCUUUGGAAAGGACCGUGCUGGUGAUGUGAUGACUUUGACUAUGUAUGUAGAUUUGUAUAACAUCUAUACAGUACCCACAUAUGUAAAACAGAUUGGAAUUGAAAACUGGGAGUUCAUUCUUUUUAUCCCUAGAUGGAGAGAUAUGUGUAGAUCUGAUGAUAUGAAUAUAUAGAUAUCAAGAGGCGGUGAAAUGAAGGUGAAUGAUUGCUUAAAAUCAAAGCUAUGUAGGGGUAUUAAUUGAGAUUUUAAAAUAUUUUUUGGAUAUUUAAUUAAGAUAUUAAAUCUUAAUACAAAAUCUGGUGGCAUUUAAUGCGGAUUUUAAUUUGUGCUUAAAAGAUAAUGGUAUUCAAUUAGAAUUGUUUAAAAUUCAAUAUUGUAAAAAGCGAUAGGACUUAAUCAGUGAAGUUACAGAACAAGGAUUAAUCGGGGAUUAAUUGGAUUGAUCGGGGAUUAAUCGUAUGAUUAAUGAAAUAAUUAAAUCUUUAAUCAGUUCGACGAGUUACAAAACAGGGAUUAUUCGGUGAUUAAUCGUGAUUAAUCACCAACUUUUAGAACAAAGUUAAAAUUAAAUUGAUGGUGAUGAAUUUUUUUGGACUUCAUAAAAUGAUGGAUUUUAUAGGAUUGUUUAGUAUAUUUUAAGAUAUUUGAAUCCUACCAAACUCCAUGAGAUUUUAAAAGAUUUGUUUCAUUUAUGAAAUUAGGGGAUAUUCAACUCGGAUUUUAAAAAAUGUAUCAUAAUCUUGGGAUAUUCAAUUACGAUUUUAAAUUAUGUUACAAAGUUUGGUGGUAUCCAAUGAGGAUUUUAAUUUAUGCUUAAAAAUUUGAUGGUAUUCAAAUGAUGAGAUUGGUUCAGCUGGUUAAAAGGGGACUUGUAUCCAUGAGAUUUUUAAGUUACUUAAAUCCUAAAGACUCUACAAUAUUUUAAAAAUUCGUAUAAAAUUAAAAUCACACACAAUCUAUUAAAAUAUGUAGACUAUAUAAGAUACAUUAAAAUCUGAGUUGAAUACACCCCGUUAAGUUUUUAUUUUUUUUAUUGUUGUAAAUGUCUUCUAUUAUUUAAAUGACUAGAAUUUCUCAAUUAAUAAAAAGGAAAUGAUUAUUUGACCACUAUUUUUUGUGAAUCAUUUGAAUAAAAUAUUUAACUAUUUUAUAAGAUAUGAUGAAAAAAUGAAAUUUAAAAUUAAUUUGAAAAUACAAUUGAAUUAUUUUAUUGAUAUUUUCAAUUUGAAUCACUAUGACAAUGAUAAAAUGUUUCAACGAGGAAUAGUGGAAAUAGUUGACAAAUUAUAACUUGUUAAGAAGAAAAAUUUUAUAAUUCAUUCUAAUUGAAAUAAUGAUUAUAUUUCUGACCUAAUUAUUUAUACAUAUAUCUUUUUAUUAUUUAAAAAGUCAUUACGAAUCAAUAAAAUAUAUUCAUUUUACUUCUAUCACAACAUCACAAAAUAUAGCAAUAAUUAAAGUUGAACUAUUUUACAAUGUUGCAGUCUAAUCUAUAUAUAUUAUACUAUAUCUCAUUUUUAAUUUGGUUUGUUGGUCACUAAAAUUUAAAAGUUAUAAAAUUCGGCAUUUAAGACAAUAUUUGUAAUCAAACUCCAAAUUUGUUAUUUCUUGAAAAUUAAUGCUAUUUUUGAAAGAUAUUUUACAUGUUUUAUCAUAAUUAAAACAGCAUUUCAUAAAAAAAAAAUUUAUUCUGUCCAACCACUAUUAUCUCAUUCUCCUCCAUUUUUUUGAUUUCUUGAGAGCUUUAUCUUGCAUUUCCAUUUAGUACUUCAUGAUUGUGUGGACUCUUAAAUAAUUUUACAUAAUGCCCUAUGUUAGCUACAAAUUAACUUUAUUAAAACAAUUUUUUUUCUUAGUAUAGGUCAUGUUCAUUUAAGGUUUUUCUUAGGGAUAAAAGAAUAUUUUCAUGAUGCGCACCUAUGACACAAAAAAAUUAUAUUGUACAAAAAUUGAUUAUAGAUUCUCUACCUAGUAUGAUUGAAAAAGAUUUAUAAUACAAAGAUUCCUAAAUCGGAAGAAUACAUUCCACCUAAUUUAAAAAUUCAUUAGUAAAAUAAUGAUUAACACCAGAAAUGGACUCGGGCACAAUAUCAAACCAAGUAAAAUUCUAUAUCAUAAAUUUCAUUAGGCAUCCUAAUAAUAACAUAAAUAUUUAAUGUAAAGGAACUCUAAGAAGUUAAAUAACUAAUUAUCAUGUGUAUGAAAUUGUUGAACAACUACAAAAAAUAAACCAGCUCAAAAUUGUCAGAAUACAUGUGAGUUAAGAACUCAAGCGUCAAUUAUACACCAUAUAUGACACAACCUAGAUUUCCUUUGAAACCGACUCUACUCUUAAUAAGGUAACCAUAUAAUUGUGAUGUAACCUAAAGUCUAACUUACACUUUAGAUUAAUAUAAUAUAAAGAGUCAUCAUAUUCGCAAUUAUAGUAAAAAAAAUAGAUUAUAGCUUCGGGAGGAGAAAAUUAUAUAAGCUGAGGAAGCAUCGCAUUCGAAAAAUUUUGAAUAAGUUUUAUUGAAAAUUUGUACUAGUAUGAAAAAAUUGAAACUAAUUUUCAAGAUCGUAAACUUAAAACAACUUUUCAAGAUAUAUAAGAUAUAGAAUAUGACUUUUAAGUCCUAUAUAUGCACUAAAAAUAAUAUGUGUCCUAUAUAUGCACUAAAAAUAAUAUGUCCUUGUGGAUGCGAAGUAUGUGAACUACCAUGAUUAUAAAACACCAUCACAACUAAACUUAACCUAAAUUGCUUCGUGUUAAUCGUCAUGAUUGAAGUAUUCAUUGCAGUUGGAUUUGUUAAGCGAACUUGGAUCUUAGGCUAAGGAGAAGAGAAAAGAAUUGCCAAACAUAAAGAAGGAUUUCUAAAAAAACCUUGAUAAAAAUUCCUCCAUCCUUUAAAUAAAAAGAUCUUUUCAAGUUCCACUCAAGUUAUUUAAGCUUGAGUUUCAUCUAAUUCCAUUAUCUAAACUCUAAAGGCCACAUGCAUAGCUUGUACUUAAAUCAAGUAGUUAUCCAUAACAUCAUUUGACAUAAAUUGAAUACAUUCUCAAUAAUUAUACACAAGAACCUAUAUUCUCGAUCACACAUAUAUUCUCGACCGACAUAUGAAGUAGUAACCAAUAGUCACCAAAAUAAUUCCUAAGUUAAAAAUAUAAUAAAUAUUUUUUUAAUAUUUUUCACUAAGUUGCGGAAGAUGUACCGAUUGCAACUAUUUGUGCUUUAAUUUCAGCAAGUAAGCAAUAAGAUACAAGUUUAGAAUUAACAGAUCGGUCUUCUUUACGUAGGCUUUAGUUUUUACACGCAUAUAAUUGGAGGCAUUGCACGUAUAUUUCAUAAUAGCAUAAUCGUAAAAAAGAAUUACUUCAACUCUAGACAGAUGCUUGCACAGGAAAUUGACAUAAAUUAUUUCAUAAUUUGAACUGGUUAUUCAUAAUGCUGUCAUUAUACCUGUCAUGCCGUCCUCAAAUUCUAAUCAAUUUAUUAGCAUCCAAAUUAAAAUUUCUUAAAUAAUUAUAGAGAACAGGAAACAUGGAAAACCAUUGCAAACAAAUAGAAUAUUAAUUUAAACGGUUAAGAAGCAUCAGAAACUCGAUUUUGCUUUAUUUAUGAUUCCCUUGGGAGGAAUUAGAGUAACUCAUCUUCAGCUUGCAAUGAUUUUGAAACACGGUCGAAUAGCUAGGAACAAGAAGAAGAAAGAACAAGAAUAAUUGAGUAGGCAAAGGUAAUUGAUUCAUUGUUAUAUACUGUCACAAAAUAAGAAAGANNNNNNNNNNNNNNNNNNNNNNNNNNNNNNNNNNNNNNNNNNNNNNNNNNNNNNNNNNNNNNNNNNNNNNNNNNNNNNNNNNNNNNNNNNNNNNNNNNNNNNNNNNNNNNNNNNNNNNNNNNNNNNNNNNNNNNNNNNNNNNNNNNNNNNNNNNNNNNNNNNNNNNNNNNNNNNNNNNNNNNNNNNNNNNNNNNNNNNNNNNNNNNNNNNNNNNGGGGGGGGGGGGGGGGCAGACUGUAUAUGAGCUUCUUGAACAUCGUCAGUGCAAACUAAACAUCUUACUCGCUGCAAAAAUUUAGUACGUUGGUAGAAUGCACUUUUAAUAGAAGAUGGGAUUCAAACCUGUCCACAUAUAUCAAACUUAUCCAACUCCAAAUGAAUCGCUAAAGUAACCAAUAAUCGAGCCGAUUCUUAAGCCGUAAUCCUCAACAAUAUUUCAAGAAAAAAAAAGCUUAGAUAUAUAAGCUCUGGUUAGGGACGCCGAGUCGAUGACCUACAAGUAAAAGAUGGCAUAAUAAAAUAUCGGUCUUUGUAGUGUGUGCCCACAAUAAGCACCAGCUCUCAUGAAAAUGACUUGUUUUUAUUGGUGCAAUUGGUGUGCAUGCAUCAACAUUUAUUAUUCAUCCACUAAUUAAAACUUACUAUUCUUAUGAAAGUUAGUGAUUGUUGUGUGCCCAUAGGCACACCAUUGAUAAUCCCAUAAAAAAUCACAAGACAACUACCUUUCCCAUGCAAGCAAAUAUUGGAGAGAGGAACGAGCAAUUGUAUCUGAACGUUUGAACACGCAAAAAGCAGAUAGAAAAGGACCGGACAGCUGUUCCUGGACAACCACUGCAAAAUACACCGACCAUAUAAAUGAAAACACCAAGCAUACAUCAUAGAUAGGGAUGAAGGAGUAAUUUCAUUCUCGUUGAAUGAUGGGCAAGAUUGUAAUUUCUAAAAGAAAUUGGGCUCACGUAUCCUUUUUGUUGCAGCAUUUAUAUAUGUAAUAGAAGAUUUUAGUAAAUGAAAAGUUAUUUCAUUUUAUUGUUUUAAUUAUAUUUGUAUUAUAUUUUAAAAUUAUUUUUAAACACAUACAACGAUGCAAAAACAUGUAUUUAGAUUUAGAUCCUCAAAAUCUAUUUAUAAUUUAGGGUUCGGCAUUUUAAGAUUUUAUUCCAAGGAUUGAUUCUUAUAUUUCUAUAUAUACCAUAUGUUUGAUCAAUUAAAACUUAUAUAAUAAUUAUAAUUUUAUCUGAUAUAAUGACUAUUUAUGAAAAUUAGGUAUGAUAACGAAUAAUUUUAUUAAAAUAAUAUUUUUAAUUCAAAUCUUGUUUUGAUAAGAUAUUAAACAACAACAAUCAUUGUUUUUAAGGAGAAAUUUAUAAUUUAUCCAAAAGUACAUGUGAUCACCCUUUAUGAUAUACACUAAUAUCAUGACAAAUAGAUAAGUGAUUAAAUAAAUUCUCAUAUUAUUUAACCUGAAGCUAAUUUAAACUUAUUUGCUAACUAGAUUUCGAAAUUCCAAGUUAAUGGAGAGAAGAACCAAAUUGCCCUGCUAAAUAUGUAAAAACAGGAGGCCUGAGUCUGAUCGCUGCUAAAACCACUAUUCCUGGAAGGUGCUUUUGCCCACUUAACUCAUGGAUAACAAAGAUCGUAUAUACUUUACUCAUUUCAUAUAAAAAAUCUUUUUGCAACUGUACAACUCAAUCAUAAAAAUACAAUCUCAACCCAAGUUUCUUGAUACUCUUUGAACUUUUACAUUAAAGGACCCGGUUGUGAGCUUUAACUUAGUUUAAUUUUCAUCAAAUAUAGAUAAUUAAAAGUUAGUUCGUGUUGGUAGAACAAUUGACUGAUGGAGAUGGAAUUUUUAAGUUUGUUAAAGGAUUUAUUUCACCCCAAUUGAUAGACAAUAUGAUAAGAGAUUAGUAGUGAAAUUAUUCUCACAGGAUACAACAAAGUAUGAAGGAUGACUCAAAACAUUUAAAUAAAAAAUAUUUGAAGAUACAAAAAUGAUUUCAGAAAUAUCUUUUUCAUUUAUUGGUUCUGUAAUACAAUAUUCCAACAGUUCGUGUAUUGCAUAUGCAAAGACAGGAAAGAAUUCAGUACAGAAUUAUUUACACAGCUAAAGUAAUAAUGCCCAGCCUUCUUGUCUAAAGCUUUGGAUGCCAUCUCCGCCCUCUUCUUCUUUUCCUUUUGAAAGGCAACCAUCCUCUUCUUCUCAUUCUGGAGCUCCAGUAUCCGCUCCUCGAUGCUGUUUCGGGCAAUGACUCGUACAACUGUCACCACUUUCGUUUGCCCUAUCUGGUGUACUCUGUCCAUUGCUUGUUCAUCAACUUCUGGAUUCCACCAUGGCUCUAGGAGGUACACCAUAUUAGCAGCAGCGAGAUCAACUCCGGUACAUGAUGCAGUUGAAGGCAGGUGGUCAUGAUGAACUUUUUACUCGAAAUGGGACUUGGGAGAUGGAACUUCAACAAGAUUUUCUACAGUUUAGGGUCUGCCACCCACGUCCUAGGGUCUUGAGGAUGCAGGACUGGCAAUAAAUGUGAGUGAUCACAAUGUUUUACUGAUGUACCAAGAACAAUCCCGAUGAUAAAAUACCUGAAAGACUAAAAACAAGAUUCAAUAAUUGACAUCAAACAAAUAAUUUUAACACACAAAUAUAAAUCAAAUCAAUUUUAUCAAAACACCACCCAUACCUAAAAACAACAAUUUCAAUCAUCCAAUUUACUUUUUGAAUGGAUCUCCAAUAUAGCAAUUGCAUCGAUACUUCAUUUAGAAAGGACCGCGCUGGUGAUGUGAUGACUUUGAAUAUGCAUGUAAAUCUGUAUAACAUCUAUACAGUACCCACAUAUGUAAAACAGAUUGGAAUUGAAAACUGGGAGUUCAUUCUUUUUAUCAGCAGAUGGAGAUAUAUAUAUAGAGCGAGGGGCCAUGAAACCAAGGUGAAUGAUUGCUAAAAGUCAAGGCUAUACACGCAUAUUAGUUGAGAUUUUGAAAGAUUUUUUUUUCAUUUAUGAAAUUCAGUGAUAUUAUACUCAGAUUUUAAAGAUUUUUGGGAUAUUCAAUUAACUACAAAAUCUGGUGUUAUUCAAUGUGGAUUUUAAUUUAUGCUUAAAAAUAUGAUUGUAUUUAAUUAAUUAUUUAAAAUCCAUUAAAAUAUUUCAUAAAAUGAUGGAAUAUAUAGGAUUGUUCAAUAUAAUACAUUUUAAGAUAUUUGAAUCCUACCAAAAUCCAUGAGAUUUUAAAAGAUUUGUUUUAUUUAUGAAAUUCGAGGAUAUUCAACUCGGAUUUUAAUAAAUGUUUGAUAAUCUUAAAAUAUUCGAUUAUGAUUUUAAAUUAUACUACAAAAUAUGGUGGUAUUCAAUAAAGAUUUUAAUUUAUGCUUGAAAAUCGAUGGUAUUUAAUUGGGAACUCCAUUAAAAUCUGAUCGCAUUCAAAUGUUUGAUGAAUUUUUUUUGACUUCAUAAAAUGACAAAUUUUAUAAAACUGUACAAUAUAUUUUAAGAUAUUUGCAUCCUACCAAAAUUCAUGGGAUUUUCAACUAAACCAAACCAAACCAAACAAACCCAGUAUAUCCCGCUUAGAGCAGGGUCUGGGGAGGGUAAAAUGUACGCAGACCAUGCCCCUACUCAUUUAGAGUAAGGAGGCUGUUUCCGUGAGACCCCCGGCUUAGUGCAAGACAAAGUUUUGUGUGAAAUAUAAGUAGAUUGUACCUUGGCCCAUGAUUGCUAACACAUGGGACUCACCUCCAUCGGCAAUGCAUCUGUGCAUGAAUGAUCUGAGCCGUUGCACCUGAGCCUUGUCCUAAAAGCAUAACACCAGAACACUCAAAACCCCUGUAAGCCACUAAACCGAGUCUCAACUACUCUAAUACGCCUUCGCCAAUCAUUCUUAUCUAAUGUCAUAUCUCCCGUUAGAUUUAGGGCUCCCAAGUCCAAACUCAAUUGAUCAGACCACGUCCGACGGGGCCGACCUCUCUUUCUCUUUCCCCGAACCGAUAUGCGUUCAACCCUUCGAACCGGGGCUGAGUUACAUUUACGCCGAACAUGUCCAUACCAACGUAAACGCCCCUCCCUUAUUUUCUUAGAGAUAGACUCAACCCCUAAAAGGCGUCUAAAAGUAACAUUCGGUAUAUGAUCUGUCAUAGUCUUACCACAAAUCCAACGCAACAUACGCAAUUCUGCUGUCUCUAGGCGACGUUCCUGAGCCUUUCUCAAUGGCCAACACUCAGAACCAUAUAGUAAUAACGGUCUGAUUGCCACUCGAUAAAAUUUACCCUUAAACUUCAAAGGUACACUUUUAUCACACAACACACUAGAAGCAGCCCUCCAACGAAGCCAUCCCGUCAAAAUACGAUGAGUCACAUCCGCUGAAAUAUCACCAUUACUUUGAAUGAUAGAACCCAAGUAUUUAAAUGUAUUUGUUUGUGGUACACGGGCUUGCCCGAUACAUACAACUACAUCCUCCUCAUGAACCUCCUCACUGAAAUUGGCACAUAAGUACUCAGUUUUAGAACGGCUCAGACGCAACCCAUAACCCUCCAGCGAUGUACGCCACCGUUCUAGGUUUAUAUUAACAUCGUUUCGAGACUCAGCGAUUAAUACAAUAUCAUCGGCAAAAAGCAUACACCAAGGUAUAGGAGCCUGAAUAUCACGAGUAAUCACAUCCAAAACCAUUAUAAAAAGCAAAGGACUUAAUACCGACCCUUGAUGAAGCCCUACAUCAACUGGAAAAUACUGAGUAUCCCCAACAGGUGUCCGAACACAUGUUCCCGCCGCUGAAUACAUAUCCUGUAUGGUUCGAAUAUACACCGCUGGAACCCCGCGCUGCUAAACAUCUCCAAAGAACCGCCCGUGGUACACUGCCAUAAGCCUUUUCAAGAUCUAUAAAUACCAUAUGAAGAUCCUUACGAUGCUCUCGAUAUUUCUCCAUAAGACAACGAAUGAGAUAAAUUAUCAUUCUCUCUAUAUGGUUCUGAGUAAUCUAUUUAAAUCUAAGUUAAAUACAACUCCCUUAAUUUCUUAUUUCUAUUUUUUUUAUUUUUGUGAGUGUCCUCCUAAUUAAUAAAAGGGAAAAUAGAUUUUUUUGCCACUCAACUUAUAGCGUUUUUCGAAAAUUACCACCCAACUAAUUUAUUUUUUCUUUUAGUCACUAAUGUUAGGUUUGGUUUUAUUUUUCGCCACCAAUUUAGGUUCGGAUUUGAUUACUAGUAUUAUGAUAAAAUUUUUUGUCACUAAACUUAUUGCGUCUUUAGAAACUAACCACUCAACUAUAAUUUUUUUUUUAUUUUACUCACUAGUGUUAGAUUCAGCUUUUUUUUGUCACUGAAGUUAACAUUCGGAUUUAAUUAUUAGCAUUACAUAUUAUGUGUAAUAUUUUGAUGAUUUGAUAUAUGUUUGUAUUUUUAUAUAUAGUACUUUUUAUGUCUCCAAGGUCGUUCACCUUGGAUGAUAAGAAUUUUACACGCAUUUUAUGGCCUUUAAAAGAUGCAAUUUCAAAUAUAACUUUAUUUUUUUCUUCCGAAUGACAAUUCAGCGUUUGAAUUUUUACACACAAAAAAAAUCACAAAAAUAAGUUAUGGAACUAUGUUUUAUAAGAGUCUUAAAUACGUGCUAAGCAGUAAAAAAAACUGUAAACUAAUGAGAGGGACGGAGGGAGUAAAAAUAAUAUAAAAUGAUGCAUUAUAUAUAGAGGACAAUCAUCGAAAAUUAAGUUUUCUUCUCUAUGUAUUUAUCUUGAAAAUUGAAAUAAGAUAAAGUUAUUAAAAUUUUUGAAGAUAAAUUUAAAAGAGAUCUUAGACUGAGCUAGUCGAUUGAAACUUUAAUAGCUAAAGAUGAUGUGUCAUAUCACUCAAUUACAAUUUAUCUUAGGAGAGGAGGUGAAUUGUUUGAAGUCAUUAAUUUCAUAUUCAUGAUUUAUUGAAUUUUUAGAAUCUAAUUACGAUUUUUCCUGAUUUUAAUUUUCAUCGGCUCAUUUUAUAUUAUUAUUGCUAUAUAUAAAGAUAUAAAUAUGCGACACAUCAUCAAAAUAUUACAUACUAUCAUUUUUUUUGGUCAGGUCAUACUAUCAUUAUGUAUAAAUGAUGCUACAAAAAAUUAUCAUAAUGCUAGUAAUCAAAUCCGAACCUAACUUGGUGGCUAAAAAUAAAACCAAACCUAAGAUUAAUGACUAAAAGAAAAAAUAAAUUAGUUGAGUGGUAAGUUUCUAAAAACGCUAUAAGUUGAGUGGCAAAAAAAUCUAUUUUCCCUUAAUAAAAAGGUAAAUGAUUAUUUGACCACUAUUUUUUGUGAAUCAUUUGAAUGAAAUAUUUAACUGUUUUAUAAGAUAUGAUGAAAAAAAUGAAAUUUUAAAAUUAAUUUGAAAAUAAAAUUACAUUAUAUUUUAUUGGUCACUAGAUUAUACUUAAUCUCAUUUUUAGUUUCAUUUGUUGGCACUAGAAUUUAAAAUUUAUGAAUUUUGGAACACAAUAUUUGUAAUCAAACUUCAAAUUUAUUAUUUCUUGACAAUUAUGCAAUUUUUGAAAAAUAUUUUUCAUGUUUUAUCAUUAAAACAACAUUUCAUAAAAAAAAAAUUCUAUCUUUGUUCAAUCACCACUAUCUCAUAUUUCCUCCAUUUUUAUGAUUUCUUGAGAGCUUUAUCUUGAAUUUUAAUCUUUCAUGGACUCUGUUAAAUAAUUAAAGUAGGGUUUUGGUCCUGAGAAUAGUUGUGAGAAUAGUUGUCAGGCAUCGGAUUUGUAUUUCAAGGGUUAGGAUUGAAAUUCAAACUUUUUUUUUGAAUUUUUUUUAAAAAAAAUUAUAUAAUGUAAGUAUAAUUUAUAAGAGUCUUAAAAUACGUGUCAAAAAUAACGUAAAGAAGAGGGAGUAUUUAGUUCAGUGAUUCCUUUAUAUUUGCUUAAGUGAGAUUUUAGUCCACAUAUACGAGACUUUAUAAUAAGAAGUAUGCAUGUGAUUUGUAGGAAAUUUGGUUUAAUAUGUUUGUUCUUUUCUUGUCACUUUCAUUAUUUUGAUUUUUUGUUAUUUAAAGUUAAUUGUUACUCUUACUCGCUCUCAUUUUUUAUAUGAAUUUUUAUUAUUUAACACAUAUUUUCAUUUUUUCUUAUCAUUUGUAACUAUCCGACACACAUUUUAAAUUGUAUAUAAUAUACAAUUUCUUAAUUGUACUUUUCAAAAUUUUCUUUCUUUUAUAAACAUAUAUAAAUUCAAUUUUAUUUAAAAGUAUAAAAUAAAUUACGAAAUUACUCUUUAUAGAAGGUCAAGUCCUCCCUCCCCAAGAACCAGAGAUGGAGUAUAUUCUAGAAGAUUAAUUCAUGAGGCUCACCUCAUAGCAUGUUAAGGCAAAAAUAAAUUAGAUCAUAGAGUUGAGUAACUAAACAAAAUCAUUCAAAUAAAUAAAAAUUAAAUAAAAAUGCGAGAAAUCAUACAUCACUCCUGAUAUCACGUACAUAUCACCACCCACUUUCGUUAUUUUAUCCUUUUCUCGUUUAAUGUGAUUUUUUACAUUUAGAAUAUUAAUUCUUCAGGCUGACCUCAUUCUAUAUCACAAAGAUUAAAAAUUAAGAUUACAUAAAUCACUGGUAUAUUUAUUUUUUUUUGACAAAUAUUACUUAUAGCCUUCGUCCUUACAAAUGAGUAUAUGUUCUAUCAAACUCUUGGGAUGAGUCAGGUCGAACCCAUGAUUUGAAACGACAGAAAAUAAGUUCAUAACCACUGAGUUAUCCAGCGGCUCACACAACACAGGUCCAAAAACCCCAUUCAGGCCCAAUCCUACAACCUUGGCCCAACCUCAUUUCGACUCCAGUCCGACCUCAUCCUGAUCCAAGUUGGGUCCCUAGCCCAAAAACAAUUACUGUGUUAUGCUUUAUAUGGCUAGUUUCUUGUUCUACAUAGCUAUGCCAGAUAAAUAUUCCUUCUUUUUCUAAAAUUUGAAAUGUCACUAAACGGGGCAAAAUGGUCUGGGCACUGAGUUUUGAAUUAUAUUUAAACUAGAAUGUAAACCAAUCCAAUCAUGACAAACAAAGAAUUUUAGGGUGUCACAUUUUUUGUUCGUAGCUACUCACCAUGAUGAGACAAGUCUCCAUCCACAGACAAAGAAUAUUUCAUUUCUAAUAAUCAUUUGACACAAACCGUAUGCAUUCCUAAUAAUCAUACACAAGAACUUAUAUGAUGUAACCUACAUAUGAUGUAGUAACCAAUAGUCACCAAAGUAAUUUCUAAGCUAAAAAUACAAUAAAUACUUUUUAAUGUUUUUUUAGUAAGUUGCGGAACAUGUAACGCUUGCAACUAUUUGUGCUUCCAUUUAUGCAAAUAAGCAAUACGAUACAAGUUUAUAAUUAAUAGCCUGGUCUUUCUUACAUUGGAUUUGGUUGUUACACGCAUACAGUUGUGCUCAUAUACUGUUUUUGUUGCGGCAUUUAUAUAUGAAAUAGAGGAUUUCAAUAAAUUAAAAAUUAUUUCAUUCUAUUGUUUUAAUUAUAUUUCUAUAUAUAACAUUCGUUUCAUCAAUUAAAACUUAUAUUAUAGUUAUUUUAUCUAUAAUGACUAUUUAUGAAAAUUAGGUACGGCAACGAAUAAUUUUAUAAAAAAUAAUAUUUUUAAUUCAAAUCUUUCUUUGAUAAAAUAUUAUACAACAACAAUAAUUAUUUUCAAAAUGAGAAAUUUAUAAUUUAUCAGUGACCACCUUUUGUAAUACACACACUAAUAUCAUGACAAAUAGAUAAGUGAUUAAAUAGUUUCUCAUAUUCUUUAAUAUGACGUCAAUUUAAAUUUAUUUGAUCAUCAAAUUUCCAUAUUCCAAAUUAAUGGAGAGAAGAACCAAGUUGCCCGGCACUAAUACAGGCAUACAUGCAAUUGCGGGAGAUGCUUUUACCCACUUAACACAUGGAUAACAAAAGAUUUGUAUAUACAUUACUCGUUUCUUGUCAAAAAUCUUUGCAACGCUCAACCAUAAAAAUACAAUUUCAACCCCAAUUUCUUGAUACUCUUUGAACUUUGACACUAAAGGACGGGGUUGUGAACUUUAACUUAGUUUAAUUUUCAUAGAGAAUGAAAAGUUAGUUUGUGUUGAUAGAACAAUUGACAUAUGAAGAUGGAAUUUUUAAAAUACCAAUAUCCAGCAAAUAUAACUAAACCAUAUUGUUUUGAGGCGUGAUACUAUCACUUUGUUUAAGGAUUUAUUUCGCCCCAAUUGACAAACAAUUUGCUAAGAAAUUAUUAGCAAAAUUGUUCUCAUUGGAUACAACAAAGUAUGAAGAAUGACUCACAUCAUAUAAAUAAAAAAAUUUAAAGAGACAAACACACAAAUAUCUUUUUCCUUUUCAUUUUAUUGGUUCUAUAAAACAAUAUUCCAACAGUUCGUGUAUUGCAUAUAUGCAAAGACAGGAGAUGAAUUCAGUACAGAAUUAUUAACACAGCUAAGUAAUAAUGCCUAGGCCUAGCCUUCCUGUCUAAAGCUUUGGAUGCCAUCCUCUACUGAUCCUGGAGAGCCAACAUCCGCUCCUCGAUGCUGUUUCGGGCAACGAUUCGUACAACAGUCACCUCUUUCGUUUGCCCUAUCUGGUGUACUCUGUUUAUUGCUUGUUCAUCAACUUCUGGAUUCCACCAUGGUUCCAGGAGGUACACCCUAUUAGCAGCCGCGAGGUCAACUCCGCUUAGACUGGCAAGCAAAACCAUGGGACGACCAUUAGGAGCUGGCUCACCGAAAUCUUUGAUGACUUGAGCCCUCUUUGUUGCGUUCAUCGAUCCAUCCAAACGCAAUACGUUGAAGCCAGCAGUCUUCAGAGGCUCUUCAAGUAAUGUCAGCAUCUUCCUGAACUGUGAGAAGACAACAGACUUUGCUGUGGGGUCCUGAUCCCGUGCUUCUGACAGAAGUUUCAAGAGAGCAGUUAUCUUCGAUGAUUUACCGGAAGAGGCCAUUUCGGCAUUACUUUUUUCUGUUGGAGCUGAGAAAAUAUCAGACUCCGACAGAUCAUGCCGGCAAAGAGGGCAGCAGCGUCUGCCGCGUCUCAGAGUCUUCAGGAUGCAGGACUGGCAUCAUAUGUAAGCACAUCGUGUGAUCACAAUGUUUGUCGGCGACGAAUGCCAAUCGGACAGUCAAUUUCUUCACCGUCGUCUAGUAUUGCAACCAUCUUCUUCGACCACCAACUCUGGGUUAUUAUAGAACUCUGCUUGCAUUCAAUUACGCUUGUAAGUACGUGUUCAUUAUGACAUCUCUCAAGGGUAUACAAAGAUUUCAUCUCAAAACUUUUUAAACUUUGACAUAAUUUAGUCAAUAUAACACAUAAGCAUAUAAAUCGAGUUAUAUGGACGCCCUUUAGAUCUCGAUUUUUGAACAUGUAAAAACGAAAUUAAGGCAUACAGAAAACAUAACAUAUCAAUAAUAAUUAAUAUCAUACCAUAAUUUACAAAAUGAUAUCAUACCAUCUCUUAACAUCUGGAUUGUGAAGCAAUCCACAUACUCAUAAAAUCCCAAAUAGUGAAAAAUGUUGGGCAAAGAAUAAUAAAAAGCCAAAAUAGUGCUACUUACAGGAAGACUUGCAUACUUGCGCUGUAACUGAUGAAGACCUCGCCAAAUCCAAUUUUACUAAGGUACCAAGAACAACCUCGAUGAUAAAAUACCUAAAAGAUUAAAAACAAGAUUUUAUCAAACAAAUGAUUUUAACACACAAAUGUAAAUCGAUUCAAUUUUAUCAAAUCACCACACAUACCUGGAAACAACAAUUUCAAUCAUCCCAUCUACUUUUUCAAUGGAUCUCAACCAUAGCAAUUGCAUCGAGAUCUACUUCCUUUGGAAAGGACCGUGCCGGCGGUGAUGUGAUGACUUUGAAUAUGUAUGUAGAUCUGUAUAACAUCUAUCAGUAGAUGGAGAAAUAUGUAGAUCGGAGGAUAUGAAUAUAUAGAUAUCAAGAGGCGGUGAAACCAAGAUGAAUGAUUACUAAAAGCCAAAGCUAUGCUGGGGUAUUAAUUGAGAUUUUAAAAGAUUUUGUUUCUUUAUAAAAUUCAGUGAUACUGCAUUCGGAUUUUAUAACAUGUAUCAAAUUAUUGUGAUAUUCAAUUAAGAUUUUAAAUCAUGCUACAAAAUCUGGUAGUAUUCAAUGUGAAUUUUAAUUUAAGCUAAAAAAAUAUGAUGGUAUAUAGUUGAGAUUAUUUAAGGGUCAUCUUCUCUCACAGCCGUGUGUCAGGGAGGGGCUAUCUAACACACUGUACGGGGCCGUUAGCUCUAUAUUUUAAGGGUUUAUAUUCAAUCUUAUUUUUUAAUGGAUUCGCUAUAAAUAUCCGCCGAACGGGAAUUCGCCUUUCUGUGAAUAAUAUUCGCGGAAUGAAACUUUUCUGGUCUGCAGAUAUUAAUAGCAAAUUAAGUAAAAAAUAAUAUUGAAUUUGAACCCUUAAAAUAUAGUUCCAACUGUCCCUGUAUAGUGUGUUAGAUAAGCCCUCACUGACACACGAUUGUUAGGGAACAAGACCCUUCUUUAAAAUCCAUUAUUGUAAAAAGCGGGAAAUGGACUUAAUCGGUGAAGUUACGGAACAAGGAUUAAUCGGAGAUUAAUUGGAUUGAUCGGGGAUUAAUCGGAUGAAUAAUGAAAUAGUCAGAUAUUUAAUCAGUUCGGCUAGUUCCGUAUAUUAAUAUUUUCUCCUUGUUUCUAAUUUCUUGAUAGAUUUAUCUUGAAUUUCUCAUUAAUAUUUCAUGAUUUUGGACUCUGUUAAACAAUAUUACAAAAUGUGCUAUGUUGGUUGAGAAAAUUUAGUUAAUUAUAAUAAUUUUGUUUUCUCAACUGGUCAUUUUCGUCUUAGGCUUUAUUUUAGGCUUUUUCUCAGAGAACAAAGAAUAAUAUUAUGAUGCACACCUAUGACACAAAAAUUAGAUUAUACAAAAAUUGAUCGUAGAUUCUCUACUUAAUAUGAUUGGGAAAAAAAUUAAAAUGCAAAAAUUACUAAAUCGAAGGAACAUGUUCCACUUAAUUUGAAAUUCAUUAGUAAAAGAAUGAUUAACACAACAAAUGGACUCGGCAUGCACAGUAUCAAACCAAGUAAGUCCAUCUCAUAAAUUUUAUUAGACAUCUUAAUAAUAAUAUAAACAUAUCAUCUAAAGGAACUCAUAGAAGUUUCUAAUAACUUACAUGACAUUCACUAAUUAUCAUGUGUGUGAAAUUAUUGAACAACUACAAAAGAUAAAACAACCAACUCAAAAAACUAUAAAUAUCUGCCAUGUAAGUGCUAACAUGAUCUUCAAGGAAAGAAUAAGUAUAUAUAUAACAAUAUUACAAGAUUUUAUAGUAAGAAUACAUGUGAGAAAAAUAUAAUCAAGUCACGAUACUUUGGACACUGCUGAAAUCAACAUCUCAAGGAUCUUUCUAUAUGACGAAUGAUAUAUGACACGACCUAGAUUUCCAUAUAACCAACUCUACUAUUAAUAAGGUAAUAAAAUAAUUGUGAUGUAAUUUAAAGUUUAGCUUACACUUUGAAUUAAUAUUAGAUCAAAAGUGAUCCUAUUUUCAAAUAUAAUUAAAAAAAAGUAGUUUAGAAUCUAGGAGGAGAAAACUAUUUAGGUUAUUCUGAAAAUUCCGACAAAACAUUAUUGGCAAUUUGUACUAGCAUGAGAAAUUUAAAACUAAUGUUGAAAACUAUAAAGUUAACACUCCUUUCCGAAAUAUAUGGAUAUAGAAUGUGACUUUUAAGUCCUAUGUAUUGUGUAUUAAAAAAUAAUAUGUCCAUCUGAAUUAUAAACUACCAAAAUUAUAAACCACUAUCACAACUAAACCUAUCCUAAAUUGCUCUGUGAAUUGUCAUUGAAUUAUGCAUUGCAGUUGGAUUUACUAAGCGAACUUAGAUAUAUCUUAGGCUUAGGAGACGAGAGAAAAAUUGACAAACAUAAAGAAGGAUUUCUAACAAACCUUGAUAAAAAUUCCUCAAUCCUAUAAACAAAAAAAUCUUUCCAAGUUCCACUCAAGUUCUUUAAGCUUGAGUUUCAUCCAAUUCCAUUAUUUAAAGGCCACAUGCACAACUUGUACCAUAUACAUUCCUAAUACUAAUAAACAAGAACCUAUAUGAAGUAGUAACUCAUAGUCACGAAAGAAAAUACCAUACGAUACGUACUCAGUAUUCCCGCUUAGAGCAGGGUCUGAUGAAGGUAAAAUGUACUCAGUCCUUCCCCUGCCCUUAAAGUAGAGAGGCUGUUUCCGUGAAGACCCCCAGCUUAGUGCACAAUAAAUAAAAUAGUGUGUGUGAUAUAAUAUUAAUAUAAUAGCUUAGCUCAUGACCUUCUUCACAUGAGACUUACCUAAAUUCUGUUUGUCGAUGAUGGGUGACAAUGAUUUGAAACAGAAAUAUCAAAGUGGAUAAACACUGUCAUUGCACACUUUCUUGAAUUAACUUGAUUCCUUCUUGUGUAAUCCUCUAUCCUUAUCAGUUCUCCUUUAUCUACGCUGCCAAAGCAAUCACCGCCAAUACACUAACCAUAUUUCUUUCCUUUUCCACCCCCAUGUAAUACUGACAGGGACGUUUCAAAAUACACACUCAAAAUCAAAACUAAUUUGCCAGGAGCUCUGGAUGAUUUGCAUUGUAGACUAUGUUGACACGAAUUAAGACACCCCACCCACAAGAAUACGGUUGUCACGUCAAAACCAUUUAGAAACCCUGUGAAACCUUGCCAAAUUCUUCGACGAACCAACAUCUGUGAUGUACAUCACGAAGAUGGUAAAUAAAACUGACUUCACAAUACCAUUCCGGAACCGCCGUCUAGCCAGUUCCUCGAUGAUAUUUUUAGUGACCACAGGCAACAUGUGUUGCAGUCUGCUCUUCUCGCAAGUCUAAUAUUCUCAAAUAUAAUAUCUGUAUUCCAAAGGUUUAAUUUUCUUGAAUUGUGAUUCAUGCCCGGCGUGUACACAAACCAGUGAAGAAGGAAAAUGGCCUAACAAUAAUGAGACGAUUUUCUAGAAAAUGAGAAGAAUAUCAUACUCGAUCGAUAAAUCACGCAAAUAUGUCGAGAGAAAUCCAACAAUGCCCACAACAUUAGAGCAAGUCAAUGUGACUACAUGUCAAUGUCUGAUAUGUGAAUAUGUGAUGUGCGUACGUAUCACGAAGAAAGGAAGCAACACACAUGGAAUACGUGUGUUAAUCGCCAACAAGAGCAUCCAAGAAUUUUGGGACAAACAUGAUGAGAAAAUCCCACUUUUGUGAACCCUACACAAUAAAUACAAUAAAUACUUUUUAAUGUUUUUAGCAAAUUGCGGAACAUGUACCGCUUGCAAUUAUUUGUGCCCCUGUUUCAGCAAGUAAGCAAUAAGAUACAAGUUUAGAAUUAAUAGAUUGGUAUUUCUUACAUAGGCUUUGGUUGUUACACGCAUAUAAUUGGAGGCAUUGCACAUAUAAUUCAAAAUAGCAAAAUAGUACAAAAGAAAAGAGUGGAAAGUGUAGAGUUACUUCAACUCUAGACAGAUGCUUGCACAUGAAAUUGACAUAAAUUCUUUCAUAUUUUGAACUCUGGUUACUCAUUACCCUGCCAUUUUAAUUACCUGUCAUGGCCUUCUAAAUUCUAUGAAUUUCUUAGCAUUCAAAUUAAAAUUUCUUAAAUUAUAAAUAUAUAUAUAUAUAUAUAUAUAUAUAUAUAUAUAUAUAUAUAUAUAACAUGAUAUAUGGAAUUCCAUAUAGCAGACAUAUAGAAUUUUAAUUUAAAAGGUUAAAAUGCAUCGGAAACUCUAUUUUGCAUCAUUGAUGAUGCCCUGGGGAGGAAUUUGAGUAACUCAUCUUCAGGUUGCUGAAAAUAAUUGCAUAAAACACCAUAGGUGUAUAUACAUGAAUAAGUAGGAACAAGAAAAAGAAAGAACAAAGAAUAAUAUAGUAGGCAAAGGUGAUUCAUUAUUAUAUAUAUGUCACAAAAUAAGAAAGAUGAAUUCAAAUAAAGAAAAGAAAAGAAAGAUGAACAACCAAAUGGAGUUGAGAGGAAAAAACGAGAAUUUAGAAGUUUAUGUACCUAAACUGAUGAACUUUAAUCUCUCUCCUUCAAUUUAAUCAACCAUUUAUAGUAAAAACAUUAUUGGACGACAUAUAUCAGCUGUAGAACUCAUAAAGGAGUUACACGAAAAAAUUGCUGAUAUAAAAGGCAUUGGAAAAGGAGAUCAUGGGUUGAAAGGAUUAUGUGAGCAUUUAUUUAUGAAUAAGGAACAUAUAAAUGAAAACACAAGCAUUAUUUUUUAAAAGCCAAAAUUUAUAAUUUACCCAAAAAUACCUUUGAUCACCCUUUGUAACACUAAUAUCAUGAUAAAUAGAUAAGUGAUUUAAAUAAUUUCUCAUAUUAUUUAAUCUGAAGCCAAUUUAAAUAAUGUCCUAUUUGGGAACCAAGAUUUCAUUUUAAAUUCUGGAUUUGAUCAAAUAACCUGUUUGGGAAUUCAGAUUUGGAUUUCAUUUGAAAUCCAGACAUUCAAAUAUCAUAUUUAGAAUUUGAAAUGACAAGUAAAAUCUUUUCAUUUGAAAUCCAUAAUUCGAAAUGAAAUGCAUGUUUCCAAACGGUCUCUAAACUUAUUUGAUCAUUAGAUUUCGAUAUUCGAAAUUAAUGGAGAGAAGAACCAAGUUGCCCUCAGGAGGCCUGAGGUCUGAUCCCGAUUAAAACCAAUCAAACAUCAAUCCCGCGAGAUGUUUUUACCCACUUAACACAUGAAUAACAAAGAUUUAUAUAUACUUUACUCAUUUCUUAUAAAAAUCUUUGCAACUGUAGAGCAUAAUUAUAAAAUUACAAUCUUAACACUUUGUUUCUUCAUACUCUUUGAUCUUUGACAUUAAAACGGCGGGACUGUGAACUUUAAUUUAGUUUUAUCAAAUAUAGAUAAUGAAAAGUUAGUUUGUAUUGGUAGAAAAAUUGACAGAUGGAGAUGACAAUUUUAGAAUACCAAUAUCCAGCAAAAAUAAUUAAUAUAUAUUGAUUGCUUUGAGGCAUAAUACUAUCACUUUUUUAAGGAUUUAUUUCGCCCCAAUAAAUAGACAAUUUGCUAAGAGGUUACUAGCGAAAUUAUCCUCAAGGGAUGCAACAAAGUAUGGAUAGCUCACAUCAUUUGAAUAAAAAAUAUUUAAAGAUACAAAAUAGAUUUCACAUAUAUCUUUUCAAUUUUAUUGGUUCUAUUUCUAUAAUACAAUAUCCCAAUAGUUCGUGUAUUGCAUAUGCAAAGACAGGAAAUGAAUUCAGUACAGAAUUAUUUACACAGCUAUAAAGUAUUAAUGACCAGGCUUCCUGUCUAAAGCUUUGGAUGCCAUCCUCUUCUUCCCAUCCCGGACCUCCAGUAUCCGCUCCUCGAUGCUUUUUCCGGCUAUGAUUCUUACAAUUGUCACCUCUUUCAUUUGUCCUAUCCGAAGUACUCUGUCCAUUGCUUGUCCAUCAACUGCUGGAUUCCACCAGGGCUCCAGGAAGAGGAUAUGUGUAUGCUAAAACUAUCUCAGAGAUCAUGCCUACAAGGCAAAAUAUACGGGGUCUUAGAGAUUUACAAAACUAUGUAGUCCAUAAAUGUUAAUAAAAGAUAGUUCUGUAAAAUACCUUCUUUAUUGCUGCACGGAAGAGUUGCAAUGUGAUCUUUAGGGCAGAGGUCCAUAUGAGUACAUGUCUGGCGGAGUCGAAGAACUAUUCCAAGCACGGCUAUGUAGAGGCUUCUGACUGUGCCUGAGGAGAUGUAAUCCUGAACGGCAGUCUUAGCCUCCACUUCCAUCUGAUCAUAAAGCUGCCUUUCCUCAGCAGAAAGAUCGACGGAACAUAUUUUCAUGAUUUUUCGAGGCAAUCCGAGUAUGUUCUGCUCUUUUGUCCGAUCCUCAAACAGAUAGCUUCCAUUACAGCCUAACACAGAACAUGAAAAAUCUUUCAAAUAUACAGGGAAAGAAUGUUAAAAUGUGUAGCUGAUGACAGUGAAAUAUAUGUACCUCUAACCGAGUGACGUCACUACUUGUGUCCACUGGCUUUAGCAGCGUCUUUUUCCUGGAGUGUUUGUCUGUAAAUGGAUUAUAUUUCAAAAAGGACAUGAGAGAAUACAAGACAAUUGUAGUGUUUUGUAUGGGAGUUCCAGUGACCAGCCGCCUCCGUCUAGCAUUUAACCUAAGUACAGCAGAGGCUUGUGUAGGAGUGGAGUGAUUAAUCAGAUGUGCUUCAUCCAAAAUCACCCUCCACCAAGGUACUUGGAAUACGGGUGAUCCCGAUUCCAGUUCAGACGCCAAUAAUGAGUACGUGGUCAGUACCAAAUCAUACUUUACAAGCUCCAUUGGGUUCUUCGUCCUCUGUUCAUAAUACAAGUAAACACUUAACUUCCCCGGCUUCGUGUGCUUUUUCAAUUGCUCUUUGCACGUCGAAAACACAGAAGUCGAGGACACAACCAAUGUUGUCCUGGAAGCUACAAGAUCAAUCAAAUUGGACGCAUUUCCAGCAGAGGACACAACCAAUGUUACUGUGCAAGACUUGCAUACUUGCACAGUAACACCUGAAGACCAAAUAAAACCCAAUUUUACUGAUGUACCAAGAACAAUCCCGAUGAUAAAAUACCUAAAAGAUUAAAAACAAGAUUCAGUAAUUGACAUCAAAUAAAUAAUUUUAACACACAAAUAUAAAUCAAAACAAUUUAAUCAAAACACCACACAUACCUAAAAACAACAAUUUCAAUCAUCCCAUCUACUUUUUGAAUGGAUCUCCACCAUAGCAAUUGUAUCGAUACUUCCUUUGGAAAGGACCGUGCUGGUGAUGUGAUGACUUUGACUAUGUAUGUAGAUCUGUAUAACAUCUAUACAGUACCCACAUAUGUAAAACAGAUUGGAAUUGAAAACUGGGAGUUCAUUUUUUUUAUCCCUAGAUGGAGAGAUAUGUAGAUAGGAUGAUAUGAAUAUAUAGAUAUCAAGAGGCGGUGAAACCAAGGUAAAUGAUGGCUUAAAAUCAAUGCUAUGUAGGGGUAUUAAUUGAGAUUUUAAAAGAUUUUUUGGAUAUUCAAUUAAGAAAUUAAAUUUUAAUACAAAAUCUAGUGGCAUUCAAUGCAGAUUUUAAUUUGUGCUUAAAGGAUAAUGGUAUUCAAUUGGAAUUAUUUAAAAUUCAAUAUUGUAAAAAGCGAUCGGACUUAAUCAGUGAAGUUACAGAAUAAGCAUUAAUUGGGGAUUAAUUAGAUUGAUCGGGAAUUAAUCGGAUGAUUAAUAAAAUAAUUAAAUAUUUAAUUAGUUCGACGAGUUACGAAACAUGGAUUAAUCGUGAUUAAUCACCAACUUUUAGAACAAAGUUAAAAUUAAAUUGAUGGUGAUGGAUUUUUUUGGACUUCAUAAAAUGAUGGAUUUUAUAGGAUUGUUUAGUAUAUUUUAAGAUAUUUGAAUCCUACCAAACUCCAUGAGAUUUUAAAAGAUUUGUUUCAUUUAUGAAAUUAGGGGAUAUUCAACUCGGAUUUUAAAAAAUGUAUCAUAAUAUUGGGAUAUUCAAUUAUGAUUUUAAAUUAUGUUACAAAAUUUGGUGGUAUCCAAUGAGGAUUUUAAUUUAUGCUUAAAAGUUUGAUGGUAUUCACUGAUGAGAUUGGUUCAGCUGGUUAAAAAGGGACUUGUAUCCAUGAGAUUUUGAAGUUAUUUAAAUCUUAAAGACUCUACAAUAUUUUAAAAAUCCAUGUAAAAUUAAAAUCACACACAAUCUAUUAAAAUAUGUAGACUAUAUAAGAUACAUUAAAAUCUGAGUUGAAUACACCCCCUUAAGUUCUUAUUUCUUUUUUUUUAUUUUUAUUUUUGUGAAUGUCUUCUAUUAUUUAAACGACUAGAAUUUCUCAAUUAAUAAAAAGGAAAUGAUUAUUUGACCACUAUUUUUUGUGAAUCAUUUCAAUAAAAUAUUUAACUAUUUUAUAAGAUAUGAUGAAAAAAUGAAAUUUAAAAUUAAUUUGAAAAUACAAUUGAAUUAUAUUAUUCAUAUUUUCAAUUUGAAUCACUAUCAAAUCAAGGGCAUAUUCUUGGGCUUGGGCAGCUGGGCUCUUAUCUGUAGGGCAGGAAUGUGGCUGGGUCCUAGCCCCUGAUCAGGUUUUUCGGACUCAAAUCAAGAGAAACUUACAGCUGCUCUUGGAUAGGUGGUUUGCUUUGUAUUCUUAUGUGGGCUUUGUUGAUGGAGCUUGUAUCAAAUCUCAGGGUCAGGCUUGCUCUGCGGGAUUGGGAGGCUUUAUUCUUUCUAAAUCCAGGAAAGUAGUUCUUAUUUUCUCUGAGCCUUGUGUGGCUCAUAAUGGUUUUGAGGCAGAGUCUGAGGCCCUAAAUACGCUUAUGGGUCACUUAGAGCACAAUCCUAUUGGUAUUCACAGCUGUGUUAUUUUCUCUGACUCUCUGCAAUUAAUCAAUUGUAUUCAGAAAAUUAAGGAGAGAGUGUCUUGGUGCAGAAGCCUAGAGAGAGUGGCCUCCAAUACUUUCAUUCAGCGAGCUAGUUUUUCUUUUAUUCCCAGACACUUAAAUAAAUCAGCAGAUUGGUUAGCCAAGGAAGGCAGGUCACGUAAUACUGUGUUGGCUGCUUGGUUUUAAAGCCUAUCUGCCUUUAUUAUGGGCAACUCUUCAUGUUUAUACCUUGUGUACGAUGUUCAGUCUGCUUUAGUUUCUUUAGGGCUUUAGUUAGUAGUUCAGUGCAUGCAUGUGUUGGAAGAAAGGAUUUCACACAAACUCACACAAGACAAUUUAGGAGAAGAAAUGUAUAACUUGAAAAAUUACUUGAUUACAAAUGGCUUGGUACAAGGCUUUAUAUAGGACUCAAUAGAAAGAACUAGAUAACUCUUAAACUCCAAGAGACUUCACCUACCAAGAUACAUGUACCUAGCCAAUACGUUGAACAUACUAAUACAUGUACCAAGAUACUAAUACAUGUAUCAAGAUUAUUCUAGAUACUCCCACACAAUUCUAUUAUUUUUAAUAGUCAAAAAUAUAUUAUUUAUUUUCAACACCCCCCCUUAAUUUUGACUAUCCCAAAUAGACUUCGGAAUUUGGUGAAGGCGUCACUUUUGAGAGGCUUUGUAAAUAUGUCACUAAUUUGAUCUUGGGACUUCACAUAAUUCAACUCCACUUCACGCCUUUCGAUGCAUUCCCGAAUAAAGUGAUAUUUUGUAUCAAUGUGCUUGCUCCGUUCAUGAAACACCGGAUUUUUGGCCAAAGCUAUAGCCGACUUGUUAUCAACCAAUAUUUCCGUAGACUCAUUUUGUGACAUGUUGAGCUCCUCCAUAACUCUCCUUAACCAUAUAGCUUGACAAACACAAGAACAUGCCGCCACAUACUCCGCCUCACAAGUGGACAAGGUAACAAUGGGUUGUUUCUUUGAACUCCAUGAGAACAAUGUGUCACCCAUAAAGAAUACAUAUCCGGUGGUACUCUUUCGAUCAUCAAUGUCACUGGCCCAAUCACUAUCACAAUAUCCAACAAGUUUGAACUCAUUUGAGUGAUGAUACAAUAAUCCAUAAUCCAUUGUACCUUUGAGAUAACGAAGAAUUCUCUUGGCCGCCUUCAUGUGUGUUGUUGUUGGAGCCUCCAUAUAGCGACUAAUAAGUCCAACACUAUAAAGUAUGUCGGGCCUCGUGCAUGUCAAGUAUCUUAAACUUCCCACAAGACUUUUAAAGUAACUAGGAUCCACCUUCUCACUUUCUUCAAAUUUUGACAACUUUGGUCCACAUUCAAUGGGGGUGCUCACGGCUUGACAAUUUUCCAUCUUGAAUUUCUUCAAAAUCUCCCUUGUAUAGCUUCCUUGUGAUAUUAGAAUCCCAUCAUCCAUUUGCUUUACUUCAAUCCCAAGAUAGUAUGACAUAAGCCCAAUAUCGGUCAUCUCAAAUUCUCUUGCCAUGUCUUGCUUAAAUUUCUCGAACAUACUUGGACUAUUUCCCGUGAAUAUUAAAUCAUCCACAUAUAAACACGCAAGAAGAAAUUCUCCAUUUUGAGCAACCUUGGCAUAUAGAGCAUGUUCAUGAGGACACUUGUAAAAUCCUUGAGCUUGAAAAUAUUUGUCAAGUCUACUAUUCCAAGCCCUCGACACUUGUUUCAAUCCGUACAAGGCCUUCUUUAACUUUAACACUUUUCCUUCUUGUCCUUUCACGAUGUAUCCCAAUGGUUGCUCCACAUACACGGUUUCUUCAAGAACACCAUUCAAAAAAGCGGACUUCACAUCCAUUUGAUGAAUUUUCCAUCCAUUUUGAGCCGCCAAUGAGAUAAUUAGCCUUAUAGUCUCCAUUCUUGCAACCGGGGCAAAAACUUCGUCAUAAUCAACUCCAUGUCUUUGAUUGUAGCCUUUGGCCACCAAUCUUGCCUUAUAUUUUUCCACCUCACCUUGGGCAUUCUUCUUCACUUUAUAAACCCAUUUUACACCAAUAGCUUUUUGUCCUUUUGGAAGUGUUGCUAACUCCCAUGUGUCAUUCUUCUUUAUAGACUCAAUCUCGUCGUCCAUUGCUUUCUUCCACCUUUCAUCUUGCACGACUUCUUUGAAGCUUGUUGGUUCGGUUUCCGCUAGAAGACAAAGAAGUGUUAAGUCAGAAAUAGCGAGAACCUCUUCCGUUUCAUCAUAUAUUUCUCCAAGAUUUCUAUAACGCCUUGGUGGUGUCUCUUCACCAUCACUUGAAGAAGAUGAGGGAUUUUCUCCAUCACUUGUUGCUCAUGGUGAUGUGGGAGGAGUGAUAUCUUCUUCACUUUCUUCAUCAAUAAAUGGGAAGAAAUUAUAAUCUUCUUGUGCGUUGCUCCAAUCCUAUGAGCUUUCUUCGUCAAAUACAACAUCUCGACUAAUAAUGAUCUUUCCAUUGAUGGGGUUGUAAAGUUUGUACCCCUUGGCUCUUGCAUCAUAGCCAACAAACACAUACUUUUCACUUUUGUAAUCCAACUUGGUUCUCAUCAUCGACGUGUGCAUAAGCUAUGCUUCCAAAAACUCUCAGGUGAGCAAUAGAUGGUCUCUUUCCUUUCCAUGCUUGUUGUGGAGUUAUGUCUUUAACACUUCUCGUCGGACAUCUAUUUGAAAAGUAGACGGCACAAUCUACCGCUUCGGCCCAAAAUUCCUUAGGCAUAUUCUUGCUCUUUAGCAUGCUUCGAGCCAUGUUAAGAUUGCUCCUAUUUUUUCUUUCGGAGACUCCAUUUUGUUGUGGUGAUCUUGGAACCGUUGCAGGUCGUCUAAUUCCAUGAUCUUCACAAAAUUGUAAGAACUCCUUUGAAUUGUAUUCACCUCCUCGAUCCGAACGAAUGACCUUUAUUUGAUACUUGGUCUCCUUUUCAACUUGGGCUUUGAACUUUUUGAAGCAUUCAAAAACUUGAGACUUCUCUUUGAGAAAGUACACCCAUGUCUUGCGGCUAAAAUCAUCAAUGAAUAACAAGAAAUAACGAUUCUUACUAAAAGAUGGAGGAUUAAAAGGACCACAUACAUCGGAGUGAAUGAGUUCAAGUGGCUCCCUUGCUCUUGACAUAGAUUCCUUUGGAAAGCUCUUUCUUGAUUGUUUUCCGAAAAGACAUCCUUCACAAAUUUGAUUUGGAUGGUUGAUGUGAGGCAAGCCAUUCACCAUAUGCUUCUUUGAAAGUGAAUUUAGUCCAUCAAAAUUUAAGUGCCCAAGCCUAAGAUGCCAAAGCCAAGAAGAAUCUCCAACACAAGCCUUUAGACAUUUUGCAACAUCAUUUUGAAUUUUGAGAAUAAACAUACGAUUCUUGGUCAUAGGCACCUUUGCAAUUAAAUUGUCAUUAGAAUCUCUCAAAUUGAGAAAUUUAUCUUUCAUGAUGAUGGUUUAGCCUUUCUCCAUUAGUUGGCCCAAACUCAAGAUAUUAUUUUUCAUGCUAGGCACAUAAUAAACACUUGAAAUAAAAUUAUGAUCUCCAUUUUUCAAGCGAAUUAGUAUGUUUCCUUUGCCUUUGAUGGGCACUCCCGAAGAGUCUCCAAAAGUGACUUUUCCAUUCACUUUCUCAUCAAGAUCCACAAACAAAUUUUUAUUGCCACACAUAUGAUAACUUGCGCUGCUAUCAAGAUACCACAAAUUAUCUUCACAAUUUACUUCUCCUUUAUGCGCUAGAAGCAAAGUGGGCUCAUCAAUAUUGCUUUUAUCUUCAGCAAAAUUAGCUUUCUCCUCCACUUGAUUUUUUGAAGCGCGACAUUCGGAAGCAUAAUGACCAAAAUUUUGACAAUUGUAGCAUUUAACAUUUGACUUGCCAUACCUUGGUGUGACUCUUCCUCUUCCACGGCCUCUUAAAUUUCUUGUCUCGUACAAUCUUUCGUGCUUUUGAUUUUCCUCCCUUUGUUGGCCACGACCUCUUCCAUGUCCAUAUAGAAAUCCUCUUCCACGACCUCUUUGGCUCCUCGUAUACCUUCCAUCAUUAUCUUUAAAAGAUAAUUUUGAUUGUAAGGCUUGUUCAAUUGGCUCCUUUAACAUUUUUUCUUCAUGGGCUUGUAAUGAUCCCAUAAGCUCAUCAAUAGUCAUUUCAUCUAUAUCUUUAGCCUCCUCAAUUGCCACAACUUUGUAAUCAAAUUUAGAGACAAGUGAACGAAGAACUUUUUCAAUAACACGAACAUCAGUAACCUCUUCUCCAUUGCUUUUCAUUUGAUUGAUAACGGUCAGGACCCUUGAAAAAUAAUCCGAGAUUGAUUCGGAUUCCUUCAUAUGCAAAGCCUUAAACUCGCCACGUAGUGUUUGUAGCCGAACUCUUUUUACUUUAGCAUCGCCACUAAAAGAAGAUUUGAGAGUAUCCCAAACUUUCUUUGACGUUGUUGCGGAAGCCACUUUUUGUAACAUAGAAUCAUCCAAACAUUGAUGAAUGAUCAUAAUCGCCUUUUGAUCCUUCUUUCUUUGGGCUUGAAGUAGAUCUUUUUGAACUUGAUUCAAAUUUGCUUCAUCUUCGGGCACCUCCAAUCCUUUCUCCACAAUUUCCCACACAUCAUUUGCUCCAAGGAUCGCCUUCAUACGAAUACACCAAUUCUCAUAAUUAUCUUUGGUGAACUUUGGCAUUUGCCAUUGAGACAUUCCAUUUGCCAUGAUCCCCUUCUUCUUUACACCACACAAGCUUUCUUUGAAGACAAAGUAGAACCUCGCUCUGAUACCACUUUGUUGGAAGAAAGGAUUUCACACAAACUCACACAAGACAAUUUAGGAGAAGAAAUGUAUUAUUUGAAAAAUUACUUGAUUACAAAUGGCUUGGUACAAGGCUUUAUAUAGGACUCAAUAGAAAGAUCUAAAUAACUCUUAAACUCCAAGAGACUUCACCUACCAAGAUACAUGUACCUAGCCAAUACAUUGAACAUACUAAUACAUGUACCAAGAUUAUUCUAGAUACUCCCACACAAUUCUAUUAUUUUUAAUAGUCGAAAAUAUAUUAUUUAUUUUCAACAUCAGGUUCUUGUAGUUUGGCUUGUGUUAGGCCUGCAGGUUGUACUCUCCUUCUGGAGUUGGGUUUAUUUUAAUAAACUUUUGCUUAUCAAAAAAAAAAAAUGUUUCAACGAGGAAUAGUGGAAAUAGUUGACAAAUUAUAACUUGUUAAGAAGAAAAUUUUUAUAAUUCAUUCUACUUGAAAUAAGGAUUAUAUUUCUGACCUAAUUAUUUAUACAAACACUUUAUCUUUUUUAUUAUUUAAAAAGUCAUUUCGAAUCAAUAAAAUAUAUUCAUUUUACUUCUAUCACAACAUCACAAAAUAUAGCAUAAAUUAAAGUUGAUCUAUUUUACAAUGUUGCAGUCUAAUCUAUAUAUAUUAUACUAUAUCUCAUUUUUAGUUUGGUUUGUUGGUCACUAAAAUUUAAAAUUUAUAAAAUUCGGCAUUUAAGACAAUAUUUGUAAUGAAACUCCAAAUUUGUUAUUUCUUGAAAAUUAAUGCUAUUUUUUAAAGAUAUUUUUCAUGUUUUAACAUAAUUAAAACAACAUUUUAUAAAAAAAAUCUAUUCUGUCCAACCACUAUUAUCUCAUUCUCCUCCAUUUUUUUGAUUUCUCUUCAGAGCUUUAUCUUGAAUUUCCAUUUAGUACUUCAUGAUUGUGUGGACUCUUAAAUAAUUUUACAUAAUGCCAUAUGUUAGCUACAAAUUAACUUUAUUAAAACAAUUUUUUUCUCAGUAGGUCAUGUUCAUUUUAGGUUUUUCUUAGGGAUAAAAGAAUAUUUUCAUGAUGCGCACCUAUGACACAAACAAAUUGUAUUGUAUAAGAAUUGAUCAUUAUAGAUUCUCUACCUAGUAUGAUUGAAAAAGAUUUAUAAUACAAAAAUUCCUAAAUCGGAAGAAUACAUUCCACCUAAUUUAAAAAUUCAUUAGUAAAAUAAUGAUUAACACUAGAAAUGAAUUCGGGCACAAUAUCAAACCAAGUAAAAUUCUAUAUCAUAAAUUUCAUCAGGCAUCCUAAUAAUAACAUAAAUAUUUAAUGUAAAGGAACUCUAAGAAGUUAAAAAACUAAUUAUCAUGUGUAUGAAAUUGUUGAACAACUACAAAAAAUAAACCAUCUCAAAAAACUAAAAAUAUCGUCAUAUAAUUGUUAACAUGAUCUUCAAGAAGAUAAUAAAUAUAUAUUUAACAAUAAUACAUAAUUUUUUUGUCAGAAUACAUGUGAGAAAAAAUAUCAUCAAGUUACUAUACUAGGGACACGGCUGAAAUUAAGAACUCAAGCGUCAAUGAUAAACCAUACAUGACACAACUUAGAUUUCCUUUGAAACCAACUCUACUCUUAAUAAGGUAACCAGAUAAUUGUGAUGUAACCUAAAGUCUAACUUACACUUUAGAUUAAUCUAUCUAUACUAUAUUAUAAUAAGCCAACAUAGGUAUAAUUUGUAGUCGUACAAAAUUUUGGUUUGGUCAUCUCUUUUGUAACUACAAGUAUGUCACAUGUAAACUUCUCUUACUCUUACAAUAUUAAAGAGUUUUAUACCGUUUAAAUUACAAACACUUGAGAUAUAGUACAAGAUAAAAACUCCACCAUUAUUCUUUUAAAUAUAAUUUAUAUACAAUAUUAUAAUAAACUGACAUUGGUAUAAUUUGUAGCCGUCCAAAAUAUAUAAUCAGUUGGUAAAUAUAAUCGGGUUAAAAUCCAAUUUAUCAAUUCUAAAAUACUAUUAAGAUAAUGUUAAAAUUUAAAUUAUAAUUAAUAAAUUACGAAUUUUAUAUCCGUCUGUGCUUCGCACGGGUUAAAGGCUAGUAUAAUAUAAAGAAUCAUCAUAUUCGCAAAUAUAGUUAAAAAAAAAUAGAUUAUAGCUUCGGGAGGAGAAAAUUAUAUAAGCUGAGGAAGCAUCGCAUUCGAAAAAUUUCGACAAAGCUUUAUUGAAAAUUUGUACUAGUAUGAAAAAUUUGAAACUAAUUUUCAAGAUCGUAAACUUAAAACUACUUUUCAAGAUAUAUAAGAUAUAGAAUGUGACUUUUAAGUCCUAUAUAUGCACUAAAAAUAAUAUGUCCUUGUGGAUGCGAAGUAUGUGAACUACCAUGAUUAUAAAACACCAACACAACUAAACUUAACCUAAAUUGCUUCGUGUUAAUGGUCAUGAUUGAAGUAUUCAUUGCAGUUGGAUUUGUUAAGCGAACUUGGAUCUUAGGCAAAGGAGAAGAGAAAAGAAUUGCAAACAUAAAGAAGGAUUUCUAAAAAACCUUAAUAAAAAUGGCUCAAUCCUUUAAACAAAAAGAUCUUUUCGAGUUUCACUCAAGUUAUUUAAGCUUGAGUUUCAUCCAAUUCCAUUAUCUAAACUCUAAAGGCCACAUGCAUAGGUUGUACUUAAAUCAAUUAGUUAUCCAUAACAUCAUUUGACAUAAACUAAAUACAUUCUAAAUAAGUAUACACAAGAACCUAUAUUCUCGAUCACACCUAUAUUCUCGACCGACAUAUGAAGCAGUAACCAAUAGUCACCAAAAUAAUUCCUAAGCUAAAAAUAUAAUAAAUAUUUUUAAAUGAGAAUGUUAAAAUAUAUAUUUUUUUACAUGUUAUUCCCUCCUUUCUUGAAUAUCUACAUUUUUGACUUUUCGCAUACAUUUGAAGAUACUUUGACCACAUAGCUAGAAAUGUUACUUUCAAAUAUAUUUUUUAAGAAUAAAAGUAUUGAUAUAAUAUUUUUAUUCAGAAAAAAAUUCAAAAAGAAAUUUUUUAACUAUAUAGUCAAAACACUUUAAUAUGCGUGCCAAAAAGUCAAAAGGAAGAUGUUUAAGAAUGGAGGGAGUAUAAUUUAAGGAGACCCAUAAACCCAGAUAGAAACAACCCAAUUAGCAUUUUAAUAUUUAGUUAUUAAUAGUUAAUAAUAUAGUAUAAAACAUAUUAUAAGUUAAAGGGAAGCGUAAACUCAAAUACUGAUCAUAAUACUAACCUAAUUUUUAAUAUUUUGAUUUAAUAGACAAUAAAAAAUAUAUAUUACAAUUUGUUAUAAAUUAAGGAGGUCCAUGGAUCGAAUAUGAAACGGUUUAUUAAACUUGAUCGACCAAUCAACUGAAUUUUUCAUGUUUCGGUUUUAAUAGUACAAUAAUAGAUAGUAUAGUAUAGAUUUGUAAUAUUAUUUUUAAAUUGAGACCAUUAGAGUACUUAAAAAUAACGUUAAUAUAUUUUGGUCAAAAAAUAUCACCAUUUAUUUAUUAAUAACUAUAUAUUAAUAACAUUAUAUAUAUAUAUAUACACACACACACAAACACAUACACAUACACAUAUUGCUUGUGUUAAUUAUAGAAGAUCGGUUUUUUUAGUUAGAAAAUAUUAAAAAGAUAAUGUGUUUUAGUUAAAAAGGUAAUUACUGUAUUCUUCGAUGUUCAUUUUGAAGAUUGAAUUUUUUAGUUAGAAAAUAUAAAUAAGAUAACACAUUUUAGUUAAAAAGAUAUUUGUUUAUAUAGAUAGGCUUGUAUUUCGGCCCAAAGUUAAAAAGAAUAAUUAGUUAUUUAGAUAGAUCCGUAUUUCGGCUCAAGUACCGAGCGACCAAACUUUCAAUGUUUUGGCUUUAAUAGUAAAAAAGAUAACAUAUUUUAGUAAAAAGAAUAAUUGGUUAUAUAGAUUAGCCUGUAUUUCAGCUCAAAGUUAAAAAUAAUAAUUAGUUAUAUAGAUAAGUUCAUAUUUCGUAGUUUCGUAUUUCGAACCAAGUACUGACCGAGCAAACUUUCAAAGUUUUGGCUUUAAUAGUAAAAAGAUAACAUAUUUUAGUUAAAAAGAAUAAUUGAUUAUAUAGAUAGGCCUGUAUUUCGGCCCAAAAUUAAAAAAUUAGAUUAGUUAUAUAGAUAGGCCCAUAUUUUGGCCCAAGUACCGAACGACACUUGUAGUAAAAAAGAAUUAUUGAUUAUAUCGAUAGGCCUAUAUUUCAACCCAAAAUUAAAAAAAUUGAUUAGUUAUAUAGACGGGCCCAUAUUUUGGCCAAAGUACCAAAUUUUUAAUGUUUCGGUUUUAAUAGUAUAGUAUAGAUGAGCCAAAUUAUAGAUAUCAUGAUAAAUUUAUAAUGAAAAUUUUAUUAUUUUACUAAUUUCAAUUAAUAUAAUGGUAUACAUGACGGUGAAAUUAUUAUUAUUUAGUUUAGCUUUCAUAUUAUUGGAACAACAUAUAUUAAAUAUCUAUUAAAAAAACAUAUAUUAAAUAUAUACUAAACAAUUACAUCUUUUAUUUUUCAAUAAUUUCAAAUAUAAUAUAAUAUAAUAUAAUUAUCAGAAUUUGAUAUUCAUUCUGAUUACAAAUGCAUCCAAAGAAACAUUCCAUCUCAUGCACAUUCACAUAUAAUUUUCAGUGAAUCUCUGUAUCUCCUCCUGUAAUUUUCUCUUUUUUCUCUCUUAUCUAUGUACUGAUUUUUGUAUUAGGAUUUAGGUGUGGUUUUGGGUGUUUACCUUUUCUGGAUGUGCUUAGAUUUAAUAUAUCGGUUUUUCUAGUGUGUGCCCUAUGGGCACAUGCUAAGCACGGAAACUCAUAAAUUUGGUGUGUUUUGAUUGGUGUGAAUGCAGGGGGCCAUGAUUAUUAAAAAGAUGUAAGCCAAUCAAAACAAAGAAAAGCUAUCAAAUUUUGUGCUUAUUGUGUGUCCAUGGGCACACCAUAGAAAAACCGUUAAUAUAUUAAUGUCUGAGCUUGAGCAUUAAUUAUUUAAGCACUACUAAAAAUUCAGCUUAGCUUAUUUGAGAAAAGAAAAGUCCAGAUCAACUUGACUAUGUUCUAUUUGUGGCCAAACAUGUUACUGUUCUGCAAUGGCUCAUUAUAGAACACGCCACAGACAUUUACCUCCACAUUUACAUAUGCCUCCUUUCGGAAAACCUACUAGCAACUACAUUUUUCAUUACUGUGUUAUGCUUUAUAUGGCUAGUUUCUUGUUCUACAUAUCUAGGGAACACUGAUCAAUACUAAACCCCUAGUUUUUGUAUGCCCGAUAAAUAUGUUUUCUUUUUCUAAAAUUUGAAAUUUCACUAAACGGGGCAAAAUGGUGUGGCACUAAGAUUUGAAUUAUAUUUAAAUUAGAAUGUAAAACAAUCCAAUCAUGACAAACAAAGAAUUUUAGGGUGUCAUACUCUUUGUUCGUGACUACUUACCAUGAUGAGAUGAGACAAGUCUCCAUCCACAGACAAAGAAUAUUUCAUUUCUUGUUUAUAAGAUAAUUAUUGGAAUUUUGAAUAAAGAAUUUGUUCAAAAUUUAGGAUAUGAGUCGGAGGAGGACAUACAUUUCAUUUUAAUUUUUAACACAUAAUAUUUUAUGGCAAAUCUGAAUAAAGGUUUGGAAUCGUUCUUAUAUUAACUGUGAGUAACCUUACAACCAAAAUUAAAAAAUUAGAUUAGUUAUAUAGAUAGGCCCAUAUUUUGGCCCAAGUACCGAACGACACUUGUAGUAAAAAAGAAUUAUUGAUUAUAUCGAUAGGCCUAUAUUUCAACCCAAAAUUAAAAAAAUUGAUUAGUUAUAUAGACGGGCCCAUAUUUUGGCCAAAGUACCAAAUUUUUAAUGUUUCGGUUUUAAUAGUAUAGUAUAGAUGAGCCAAAUUAUAGAUAUCAUGAUAAAUUUAUAAUGAAAAUUUUAUUAUUUUACUAAUUUCAAUUAAUAUAAUGGUAUACAUGACGGUGAAAUUAUUAUUAUUUAGUUUAGCUUUCAUAUUAUUGGAACAACAUAUAUUAAAUAUCUAUUAAAAAAACAUAUAUUAAAUAUAUACUAAACAAUUACAUCUUUUAUUUUUCAAUAAUUUCAAAUAUAAUAUAAUAUAAUAUAAUUAUCAGAAUUUGAUAUUCAUUCUGAUUACAAAUGCAUCCAAAGAAACAUUCCAUCUCAUGCACAUUCACAUAUAAUUUUCAGUGAAUCUCUGUAUCUCCUCCUGUAAUUUUCUCUUUUUUCUCUCUUAUCUAUGUACUGAUUUUUGUAUUAGGAUUUAGGUGUGGUUUUGGGUGUUUACCUUUUCUGGAUGUGCUUAGAUUUAAUAUAUCGGUUUUUCUAGUGUGUGCCCUAUGGGCACAUGCUAAGCACGGAAACUCAUAAAUUUGGUGUGUUUUGAUUGGUGUGAAUGCAGGGGGCCAUGAUUAUUAAAAAGAUGUAAGCCAAUCAAAACAAAGAAAAGCUAUCAAAUUUUGUGCUUAUUGUGUGUCCAUGGGCACACCAUAGAAAAACCGUUAAUAUAUUAAUGUCUGAGCUUGAGCAUUAAUUAUUUAAGCACUACUAAAAAUUCAGCUUAGCUUAUUUGAGAAAAGAAAAGUCCAGAUCAACUUGACUAUGUUCUAUUUGUGGCCAAACAUGUUACUGUUCUGCAAUGGCUCAUUAUAGAACACGCCACAGACAUUUACCUCCACAUUUACAUAUGCCUCCUUUCGGAAAACCUACUAGCAACUACAUUUUUCAUUACUGUGUUAUGCUUUAUAUGGCUAGUUUCUUGUUCUACAUAUCUAGGGAACACUGAUCAAUACUAAACCCCUAGUUUUUGUAUGCCCGAUAAAUAUGUUUUCUUUUUCUAAAAUUUGAAAUUUCACUAAACGGGGCAAAAUGGUGUGGCACUAAGAUUUGAAUUAUAUUUAAAUUAGAAUGUAAAACAAUCCAAUCAUGACAAACAAAGAAUUUUAGGGUGUCAUACUCUUUGUUCGUGACUACUUACCAUGAUGAGAUGAGACAAGUCUCCAUCCACAGACAAAGAAUAUUUCAUUUCUUGUUUAUAAGAUAAUUAUUGGAAUUUUGAAUAAAGAAUUUGUUCAAAAUUUAGGAUAUGAGUCGGAGGAGGACAUACAUUUCAUUUUAAUUUUUAACACAUAAUAUUUUAUGGCAAAUCUGAAUAAAGGUUUGGAAUCGUUCUUAUAUUAACUGUGAGUAACCUUACAAUAUUAGGUAGGUUUGGUGAAAGUUUGUGAUACAUAUGCUAUCCUCGAUUAAUGAUUUUUAAACAAAUGUGAAUUAUUUAUUAUAUUCUACAAACAAUGAUACAAUUGAUGGAAGACCUCUAAAUGAGACAUGAUUUGGACAUGUGAAUAUGAAGAAUAUAAGAUACAAGGAGGUUCAUAAAAUUUGUAACGUCCACAUUGAUAAGAUUUAAAAUGUUCAGGACUUUAUAGAUGUAAGUAACUAAAUAAUGUGCACCAAGUUGCUAUUUUUUCUGAACUAACUUAGUGUGGGUUAUUAAGAAUGCCUCCGUGUUAUAAACUUGAGUUGUUAAAAAUGGAAUUGUAUCAGAGCCAGUAUGCUGAUAUAAAAGGCAUUGAAAAAGGAGAUCGCACACCACCAGCAGAUAGGGUACAUAAAGAGCAUUUUCAGAGGGGUAUGUACAAAAAUUAGAGGGGAAUUAAGGGGGGAGCAGCCUGUAUAUGAGCUUUUCUACGUGGGUAUUUACGAAAAUGAGAGGGAAAUUAAGGGGGGAGCAGCCUGUAUAUGAGCUUUUCGAACAUCGUCAGUGUAACCUAAACAAGAACUCGCUGCAAAAUAUCAUUAGGAUGUCUGUAAGUUCUGUAUUCAGCACUUUUAAUAGAUGUUGGGACUCAAACCUGUCCACAUAUAUCAGACUUAUCCAAAUCCGAAAUGACUCGCUAAAGUAACCAAUCGAGCCGAUUCUUAAGCUCUGAUCCUUAACAAUAUUUCAAGAAACAAAAAGCUUACAUAAACUCUGGUUAGGGAAGCCCAGUCGAUGACCUGCAACUAAAAGAUGACAUAAUAAAAAUUCACAAGACAAUUACCAUUUCCAGGCAAGCAAAUAUUGGAGAGAGGAUCGAGCAAUUGUAUCUCAACUUUGGAUACACGCAAAAAGCACAUAGAAGAUCAGGACCCGGCAGCUGUUCCUCGAGAACGAAUACAGAAGUUCCCCAACAUGCAGAGCUUGUACAUGAAUCAAGUUAUCCUGAACAUCAUUUGACACAAACCGUAUGCAUUCCUCAUAAUCAUACACAAGAACUUAUAUUCUCAGCCUAUAUAUGAUGUGACCUACAUAUGAUGUAGUAUAUCCAAUAGUCACCAGAGUAAUUUCUAAGCUAAAAAUACAAUAAAUACUUUUUAAUGUUUUUUAGUAAAUUGCGGAACACGUACCGCUUGCAACUAUUUGUGCUUCCAUUU
rnacentral:lncRNA from 1 species